rnacentral:lncRNA from 1 species
UGUUUCUUACUUUUGUGUUCACAUUUAGCAUAAAACAUUAUCUUAAAUUAAUAUGAUCUGAUAAAAAAGAAAUAGUUAAAAAUGGUUUUUUUAUAAUAACAUGAAAUUGAUUUUUAUCAUAUAAAAAUAUUAGGUUCACUAAAAAAAAUCAUGAAAUAUAAACUAAUUUUAGAGAUAACAAAUAAUUAGUUGUUAUAGUGACUAAAUUAAAAAUCAUUUUAGAUACUAACAAAAUGUUUGGUUUCUAAAUUGUUAUCUAAUUAGCAACCAAGAUUUUAACUACCAAAUAUUUAGAUUCCAAAUUUGGUAGCAAAAAUCUUGGUUGUUAAUUAGAUACCAAUUUAUAAACCAUUUAACAAUAAUAUAAAUUAAUUUAGAAACUAAAUUUUUUUGUAGUUUCUAAAAUGGUUUCUAGUUUAGUCACUAUAAAAACUAAUUAUUUUUUAUCUAUAAAACUAGUUUUUAUUUCAUGAUUUUCUUGUAGUGAUUUUUAGGUAUUUAAAAUAAAAAAAACUAUUGAAACGAGUCUUUAAUCAUUCUUCUUACAUGACAAACAAAUUUUCAAUCUAGACUAUAUUAUAAUAUUUAUAUCAACGAUGAAUCAACAUAAAAUAUUUUAACAUUAUAAUAGGUUGAAAAUUCAUUUGAAAAAUCUAAAAUUUAGACCAAACAUAACAUAUCAAUGAUGAAUCGACAUAAAAUAUCUUAACAUUAUAGUCGAAGUUGAAAAUUGAUUUAAAAAAUCUAAAAUUUAGACCAAACAUAAAACAUAAAAGUAAAACGUAAAAUUAAAAAAAUAAUAUUUAACUCAUAAAAAAACUUAAUUAAUAAUUAUAUUAUUUCUGUUUAAAAGUAAGCUUCUACUAUGCUUAGUCUUGUUUAUGGUUUAAUUCAUUACUAAUUAUCCAAACACUGUUUGUUUGUGGAUAUCAAGAGGUAAAUAUUUGAAAUGUGUAUAGUUUAAUCAUCAAAUCUUACUGUAUCACAGUUUGGUGCAAAUAUGUAAUUUAAAACAACAUUUUGGAUAAUCACGCUUCCUAUUCAUUCGUCACAAUUAAAAUUUAUUUAGACUUCCAACAAAACCUCAUUAUUCUAUCAUCAAAAGUACAUGUUUAGUCAAAAACUAAAAAAUGUUGCUUGAUUAAAUCACAUUUUUUAUUUAUUUUUAAAAAUAUAAAUAAUUAAAUAAAUUAAUAAUUAAGUUAUUUAUUUUACCAAACUUAUAAAAUUUAUAUUAAUUUAUGUCAAUAAUUGACAGAUUCAUUAUACUUAAUCAAUUUCUUUCAAUCAUAUAUAUAUAUAUAUAAUCAUGUUUUAUUUUAUCUACUAAAUCUAAACAUCAAAUUUAGUCUUAAUAGAAAUGAUUUAAUGAUUAAAUGCACUAAUGUUAAUAAAUAAACCCGAAACUUAAUUGACUUAAUUGCAAUGGGAUAAAAUCUUACUUAUUUUAUAUUUUAAUGCUACCCUUUAUUUGGAUAGUGUGAUUUAGGUUUUAGUUUUUCUUAAUCAAUCAUGCUUAUUAAUUUCAGAAUUAAAUAAAAUGUACAAUUUUUUUUUACUACAAAUCUUCAACUUUUAGUUAUAUAUAUAGUUUUUAUGCAUAAUUUAGGAAAUAAAACAAUUUAUAAACUAAAAACUAGUGAAGAUUUAAUGGCUUUAUAAGACAAUAUUAUAAAUUGAAGAUAUAAAUUAUGAAAAUUGAUGUUUCUAUUAUUUCUUUCAUAUUGGUGUCAUUAUUUUAUAGGUUAUGUGAUCUUUAGGCCUGAUUCAGAAUCUAAUAUUCAUUACAUAUUUUUCGAUCACAGUUCCUUUACCCAACCAAGAACAUUGACAUUUGAGAUUUUAAUAAAAAAAAAAAUCUCUUGGGUGAAUGUAAAUACUCCAUCUCAUAAGAUCACAAGCAAUAUUUGGUUCCUAAAAACUAUGUUCAAUCCAUGUAGCAAAAAUAAUGGACUCACUCAAUUAAUUUUCACUAUUUUAGAUUAAUUAUUAUCUCAUGUUUACGAGUUAGUAAAUGCAUGAAAAAAAACUACUUCAUCUAGUUCAAAUUAAAUACACUGAUAAAAAAUAAGUUGUGUGAAAAAUAUUAUAGCAGUAUAAAUUUUAAUGGUUCACAUUUAUUGUCAUUGAAAUCAACUGAGAUAAGUAGAAAUUUUUAGUAUUAACUUAUUAUCAGUAAUGAUUAAGACACGUAUUAUUAAGUAAAGAUUUUUUUUAUCUAUUUAUAUAUUAGAUAAAUCUAGAUUGGUAUCUAUCAAAAAAUAUUUACAUCUACUAAGUAAUUUUUUAAUUCAUAUAUAAUAACCUUAAUUACGAUGGAAAGAAAAAAUGCUAUUUUUUAUGAAAUGUGAUGUCUUAUUUCUAACAAUUUGGGCUACUUCUUCCUGCACCCCCUAAUUCGUGCAGCACCCAUAAAUUUUGUAAUUCCAAAAACAUGUCUAUGUCCAAAGUUUGAAAUGUUCUCCACUCUGAAAGUUUUUUUCAAAUCUGAGAUUAGUUUAUAGAUUAUAUAAUGUAGAAUGUGUAUUUUAAAAAAUAAAUUUAAAUUACAUAGUUCAACGUUAAUUUUGAAUUUGAAAAAAAAAAUUAUGAAUUAUGUAAUCUAAUUUUUUUUAAAAUAAUUAUGAAUUAUAUAAUUCAUACACUAAUCUUACUAAUUUGAAAAAACUUAUGGAUUAAAAAAUCUAAAAUGUAUUUUUUUAAAAAAAUAAAAAUUACACCGUUCAAAAUGUUCUCAAAACGUGGAAAAUGUUAUACCAUUACAAAUUUUAAUGGUUCACAUUUUUUGUCAUUGAAAUCAACUGAGAUAAGUGGAAAUUUUUAGUAUUAACUUAUUAUUAGUAAUGAUUAAGAUACAUUAUUAAAUAAAUAUUUUUUUAUCUAUUUAUAUAUUAGAUAAAUCUAGAUUGGUAUCUAUACAAAAAAUAUUUAUAUAUACUAAUUAUUAUUUUUAAUCAAAAUAUAUAUAAUAACAUUAAAUACAUGGAAAGAAAAAAUGUUUUUUUCUUAUGAAAUGUGAUGUCUUAUUUCUACACAAUUUGCAGACUGUUUCUUCCUGCACCUCCAUACCUUCUUCUCUCACCUCCAUAUAUUUUUGAAUUUCCAAAAAUGUCCCUCUAUAAUAUUUCGGAUUAUGUAAUCUGAAAGUCAUUUUUUAAAUUUAUAAUUAGCUUCCGGAUAAUGUAAUCCAGAAGCCUUUUUUCAGAUGUAUUAUUACUUUCCGGAUUACAUAAUCCAGAAGUCUUAUUUAGCUUCUGGAUUAUGUAAUCCGAAAGUCUUUUUUCAAAUGUGUUCUGGAUUAUAUAAUCCGGAAACUAGUUUAUGGGGUGACAAAAAAGGAUAAAAAUGUAUUUUCAUAUUGUGUAUGGAGGUGCCAGAAGAAGAUAUGGAGGUGCAGGAAGAAACAGUUCAAUUUGUAUAGCCGAGCCCGAUCAUGAAGAUAUGGGCUUAUGUACACAGAAACUGAAGGCUGUUUAUUCAUUCUGCACCUCCAUAAUUUUUACUGACACCCAAUAGAUCUGGCAAAAGACCAUUUUAUCCUUAAAAAAUACAUUCUGAAGUUUUUAAUCUGGAAAUGAUUUUUUUUUUCUAUUUACACCUUCCAGAUUGUAUAAUCUGGAAUCUAUAUCUAGAUCUGAAAAUACCUUUCGGAUUAUCCAAUCUAAAUCUUUUUCUUCUUUAAAAAGGUACAUUUUGGAUUACAAAAUUUUUCAAAUCUAGAAAUAAUCUAAAAAGACUUACUGAAUUCUAUAAUCUAGAAAUAAUUUUUAAAAUCUAUAAUUUGGAAUGUAGAUUUUUAAAGAAGCUCAUUUUAAAUUAUAGAAUCUUAAAUUUUUCUAGAUCACUAAUUCUAAAAUAAAAAUAUCAAUAAAAUAAAUGUUUUUUUUAUAUAUUUUAAGAAGUAUGGACUUCCAUAAAAAAACUAUAGAAGUGCAUAAAGAAACAACGAAAACCGAAAAUGGGCCGUAAUAGAUAAGCCCAAAGAGGCCCAUUAAGGUGACGUUUUGGCGGGAAGGCGUUGUUCUCCGUCAUUUAUUUCCCGCCACAGCACAGAGCCAUUAGUAAGUAACGGUACAAGAGAACUGAGAUUCCAAAAGCAGAAGUGUUUAGGGUUCGAAGUUCCGAGUAAGAAGCAGAGAAAGCAGAACAAUCGACAAUGGAAGCGUUCGGUGGGUUCGUGGUGGACGAGAAAGCCGUUACUGUCGAGAACGCUUUUUUGGAUUUUCUCAAAAGGUUCCCUUCUUCUUCGCUUUCGUCUUCUAAUUCUUUCUUUUCAUUUCGAAUUGAAAAUUACUAAGUCUCCUCUUUGUAUGGGCGGAAUCGACAGUUUUAAAUCUAGCCAACGGAACGAGCUUCAAUACGAACCGGAGAUUGAAGUGAUGAGAGUCAGCGAAUCCAACACUAUGUUCAUCGAUUUCUCCCAUGUCGUCAGAUUCAGCGACCUCCUCCAGCAGACUAUCUCUGAUGAGUAUUUGAGGUUUUUAUUUCUGUCUUGAAACUUUGAAUUUUUUUUAUGAUUUCGAACGCUGAGGUUAGAAGCCACAAGAGUUUUUUUUAAUAUUUCGCCGCACUAAGAUUUGGUUUUUGUAGAUAUGAACCUUAUUUGAGGAAUGCUUGCAAGAGGUUUGUUAUGGAACUCAAGCCAUCAAUUGUAUCCGACGAUGGCCCUAACAAGGACAUCAACGUUGCUUUCUAUAAUAUUGCCGUUAUUAAGCGGUAUGUACAUUUUUGCUCUACUUUUUACUUUUUACUGUUAAUUGUUUUUUAAUUUGUUGGUUGUGUCGAAUUUUGACAUAUUGAAGGCUUUGGUGUUUCAAUUGCCAGAGUUUGAGUGAGCUCAUAUGGAAUUAAUAUUGUGCAUUUUGUUCACUGCUAAACUUGCCCUUUUGCAGGCUAAGGGAAUUGGGUACAUCGGAAAUUGGGAGACUUGUAUCCGUUACAGGAGUGGUGACGAGGACAAGUGAGGUUCGACCUGAACUUCUCCAAGGGACUUUCAAGUGCUUGGAAUGCGGUAGUGUUAUAAAGAAUGUUGAACAGCAAUUCAAGUAUACCGAGGUGGUUAAAACAAUAUUAUGUUUUAAUUUUGAUUCUUGUCGUGUUUGAUCAAUAUCAUGUAAUGCUCAUGUAUGGAUUUUAUUAGGUUAUUUGUCAUUUGCUGGGUGUAUUGGUUUCUAUUUUACUAUUUCCAUUCUGAUGUUAUGCCACACUGCAGCCAACAAUCUGUACAAAUGCCACCUGUAGCAAUCGAGCAAGGUGGGUACUGCUUCGCCAUGAGAGCAAAUUUGCUGAUUGGCAGAGGGUCAGAAUGCAGGAGACAUCCAAAGAGAUUCCUGCUGGCUCUCUUCCUAGGUCAUUGGAUGUUAUUCUUCGUCAUGAGAUCGUGGAACAGGCCAGGGCUGGUGACACGUGAGAUUUCUCUUGCCUUAAAUUUCCUUGAACUAGUCAAAUUAUAGUGGCUCUUUCGAUUGCCUGAAUUUGAAUAACAAUAAUCGAUAACAUUCUGGCUAUCUGUAGGGUGAUCUUCACAGGUACUGUAGUUGUUAUACCUGACAUAAUGGCAUUGGCAUCUCCUGGAGAAAGAUCAGAGUGUCGUCGGGAUGCUUCUCAACGCAAGGGCUCAACCGCUGGAAAUGAAGGUGUCAGUGGCCUUAAGGCCCUGGGAGUCAGAGACCUCUCCUAUCGUCUAGCGUUUAUUGCUAACUCUGUUCAGGUUGGUUAUUAGCGAAUGUUCAUGUCAUAUGUUCAUGUGAUCUGAUUGAUUUUGUAACGGAUGUUGUUUUUGAAUGACUUCAUUCAGAUUUGUGAUGGAAGAAGAGAAAUAGACAUCAGGAAUAGAAAGAAGGAUGCCGAUGACGAUGACCAACUGUUUACUGUAAGUUUCUUGAUGCACUACAUCUAUAUCCUUUAAUAAUGUAAUCUUUUGGUUCAGAUUCUAUAUUGUAAGCUUUUGUGACCGGUGUUACUUCUAUUAUGAAACUUGUUGGGUAUUAAUUCAUGUUUAUCUAAGAGCUGUAAAUAAUUCAUGUUGAUCUAAGAGCGGUAACUUUGCUUUAAUCAUUAACUGGAUAUCACUGCUGUUGUCAUUUGCUUUAUUCAAUUUAAGAAUUUUAGGUUGAUUGCUAUUCUGCCUAUGUUUAUUUGAAAAAGCAUAAUUAACGCUAUAUUUAUUUGCCUGGGUGAUUUGACAGACACAAGAACUGGAUGAAAUUCAAAGAAUGAGAAAUACUCCCGAUUUUUUCACCAAACUAGUUGAAAGCGUUGCUCCAACUGUUUUUGGUCAUCCAGAUAUAAAGAGAGCUAUCCUUCUUAUGCUCCUGGGUGGUGUUCACAAAUUUACUCAUGAAGGCAUCAACCUCAGAGGAGACAUAAAUGUUUGCGUUGUCGGAGAUCCCAGCUGUGCAAAAUCUCAAUUUCUUAAGUAAUCCUCUUUUUUUUUUUUCUUUUUGUUGGUUACUUUAUACUGGUUUGUGCAAAGUGAAUGGUUAUGAAUGCUAGUUUAUCGUUGUAGGUAUACUUCAGGCAUAGUGCCAAGAUCUGUGUAUACAUCUGGGAAAUCCUCAUCUGCUGCUGGCUUGACGGCAACUGUUGCGAAGGAACCAGAAACUGGGGAGUUUUGUAUUGAGGUAAAAAAUCUUCCCCUUUUGUAAUUAUUGGAAGUGUAAAAUUUAGUUGCACUAUCAAUUGGGGCAUCUAGAUUAUUUCUAAGUUCCUAAAAAUUUGUUAACCUUUUGUUGUUGUAUGUGUUUAACUGACAUGUUUUUCUAUGAUUUCGUGAAAUUUAAUUUUAAAAUAUGCAAUGCAUUUCCUACUUUGAGUUACAUUAAGCAAGAGUGUCUAUUCGUUUACAUUACUUGUUAAAGCAUAUUAGCAGUAAUAGAAACUUCUUUAGACUGAAUUACUCCCUGGAAAAAGGUAAUCAAGAAAUGAUAAAAUGUUACAUAAACUCAAAGAACUAAGUCAGAGCAUGUAUUUUGGUCCUCUUGUCUCAUUAAUAAAUUCUUAUCCAUCAUGGAUUGUGAGUUCUAGUAAUUCGAAAUUGUUUGCAUGAUGUUGCAAUGAGAAUUUUGCAUUCAAAAAAUGACAACUAAUAUAUAGAGUAGCUUAGAAACUGUUUAUGAAACUAUAAUUUUUCAGUUUUACAACUCAGUAUAUAGCAUAGAACUAUUUGUGAAACGUGACUAGAAGGUACUGUAUGAAAUCGAGUGGGACAGAACAGAAGGGAGGGUUUCGACAUGCUUGGGUGUUGCAUAAUCAUCAUUAUCUGAUUUGCACGAUAUUUACCUGUCUACUUGAUUUUUACAUCGAUAAAUUCUUGUUUCAGGCUGGUGCUUUGAUGCUUGCUGACAAUGGCAUCUGCUGCAUUGAUGAAUUUGACAAGAUGGACAUCAGAGAUCAGGUAAGGCAUAUUCUUUUUUACUUGCAUUACAUGCCGUGGUCGUGGAGUGGCUGGUGUCUCAUUUGAUUGGAUUGCAGGUUGCCAUUCACGAAGCCAUGGAACAGCAGACUAUUAGUAUCACAAAAGCAGGAAUACAAGCAACGCUUAAUGCUCGGACGUCCAUUCUUGCCGCUGCCAAUCCUGCUGGGGGACGCUAUGAUAAAUCUAAACCACUUAAGGUAAGAUGUUCCAGUACCCAGUUAUGGGUCAUCGUGCCGUUAAAUACAACUUGGCCUAACUGUUUUCUUUUUUCCCUUUUCUUUUUUCAGUACAAUGUGGCUCUUCCACCGGCUAUACUUUCGAGGUUUGAUCUCGUAUACGUUAUGAUCGAUGAUCCAGAUGAUCAGACAGAUUAUCACAUUGCCCAUCAUAUUGUGAGAGUUCAUCAAAAGCGGGAAGCUGCUCUUGCUCCAGCAUUCAGUACAGCAGAACUGAAGCGUUAUAUAGCAUAUGCAAAAACUCUUAAACCAAAGGUUAACGUCUCCUUUAGAUGGAGUGCUUCUAUUAAUGAGGAUAACUUUUGCCUUGUGCACCUAUCUUAUUAGUUAGCCUUAUUAAUGCAGCUCACGUCAGAUUCCAGAAAACUACUGGUAGACUCUUAUGUUGCGCUUCGUAGAGGUGAUACAAAUCCAGGGAGUAGGGUUGCUUAUCGUAUGACAGUUAGGCAGUUGGAAGCAUUAAUCAGGUUGUCAGAGGCCAUCGCGCGGUGUCAUUUGGAAAAUCAGGUUAGUUUCAGUGGCUUAUUAUCAAUAUUCAUUGAUUUCAUAUUUUCUUUUUGGUCUAAAGAAGCUUUGGUAUCAGGUACAACCUCGCCAUGUUCGUCUAGCAGUAAAACUGCUGAAAACUUCCAUUAUAAGGUAAGGUUUUUAUUUCACGCUUACCUUUUGCAGUUUUUAUUUGGAACCUAGCUUUUGGUGAUAAUUGCAUUUUACUGUUUUCCUGCAGUGUGGAGUCCAGUGAGAUCGAUCUGUCUGAGUUUCAAGAAGAAAAUCAGAAUGCCGGGGCAGUUGGUGGUGAUGGAAAUGAUAAUAACGGAGAUGCUAAUGGCGGAGGUGGAGAUGCUAAUGGUGGAGGUGGUGAUGCAAAUGACAAUAGAGAUGCUAAUGAUGGUAAGCUGCUGCUCACCCAUUUUCCCUUGACAAUCAUUACUUGAUUAAGCUUAGUUAUGCAUUGGUUAAUUAUUCUGCAGGAAAUCCAGCAGAUGGAUCUAACUCACAGGGGAUGAAACAAGCUGAUGGAAAAGAUGGUAAGGAGGUGUCUCAAUCCCCUUUUACCUUGAAAUUAUCCAUCGAUGAAGCAGCAAGCUUAAUUAUGCAUCGGUUUAAUUAUCUUGCAGGAAAUCCAGCAGAUGGGUCUAAACCCCAAGCGAAAAAACUCGUUAUAAGUGAUGAAUAUUUUCAAAGAGUAACCGGCGCCCUUAUCAUGCGUCUUAGGCAGCAUGAAGAGGCUGCUGUGCAAGGUGGUCACUUAAACCAUCACUCGUUACGUCUUAAACCAUCUGAAACACCAGAAAAGUUAUUUAUGUUCAAUCAAAUUAGCUUUUGGUUAAAUGUAUACUUUAUCAUGUUGUCUGGUGUACAUAAAGAUAUUUUUAUUAAUUUUUUUGUUAGCAAUACUAGAUGUGUCAAAUGUUAAUUAUUAUUUUAAAACGGAAAUUUCUAUGAACUUUACAGGAAAUGGUUUGGCUGGAAUGAGACAAAAAGAUCUGAUUCAAUGGUACGUAGACCAACAAAACGAGAGAAAUAACUACAGUUCGAUGGAGGAAGUGACAGCUGAAAUUUCUAAAAUUAAAGCUAUUAUAGAGGUAUCUUUUUGUCCAGAGCUUUUUAGCAGACUUUUCUUAUUAAAAUUUGUUAAAAAUUGUGAAAUUAUGAACGAAAUUUAUUGAAAGUAUAACCACGAUCAUUGUUUUUUAACAAUUUUCAUUUUUUUUAAUCCGGUGGAAAAGAAUAUGUUGAUAGGAUUUUAUUUUAGUCUUACAUAUUUUGAAGAAUUAAAAUAUUAUUGAUGAGCAUUUUAAAAAUGCACUUGGUGGUGCAGAGUUUAAUUCGCAGAGAAGGUCAUUUAAUAGUGGUAGAUGAUGGGCAAGAAGCGGCUGCUGAAGGAGGAGGCGCACCUAGAAAUAACCGAAUUUUAGCGGUGGCUCCCAAUUAUGUCGUUGACUGAGUCAAUUACAAAUCACACUUUUCACAAAUACUUCUAUUUGUCUUCUGCUGCAAAUUUGUUCGUUAUCUGAUGACUUGGUAGAUGAUGAUAGGCCUUUAUAAUAUAUUUGUAUCUAGAAAUUGUAUGUAUUUAUCUAUUGCUCCUUCUCAUCAUCUUUUUAUUUUAUAUUCAACUAUCUUCCCAAAUUACACAUUUCAUUCACUACUUGUUAAUUAAUAUAAUUUUUAAUGUCAGAGUCUUAAUUUAAGGCAGUAGACAUGAAAAUACACCAAAAGGAAAUCAAAAUUUAUGUUAAACGUUGUAAACUUUUGAAGCAUAUACAUGAUUAAUAGAAAGUUAAUAACUAUAGAAUUUAAUUUUCACUUAGCGUAUUUAUAUUCUCAACUGAUUAAAACGUUUUAAUUAGUUUAAAAACCAUUUUUAACCUAAAAUAAAUAAAUUAUUUAGUAUAACUAAUUUCAUGAUAUACAUACUUGUUGCCAACCACUUAUAUCAUCAUGCCUUACCUAAUCAUUUAUCUCAUAUCUAUUUUAGAAGCCUUGUAUCAAUUAUAAAAAUAAGGUCUCAGAUUACGAAAGCUGUACAAUUAUUAAAUACAUUUUAUAAUACAAUCAUACUACUAUGAUUGUUUCAAACCACUCAUUAUGUAUAUUGUUGACAAUGUCUUAAUACAACUUCAAACUAAAAGUACCCCUUAACACCAAAAUUAUUUUCAAAGAAUAAAUUCACCUAUAGAAAUUUUUACUGAAACCAAACUUAUCAAAUUACAAGUAUAUAUAUGAAAGAGUAUUUUAUUGAUGUUUCUCUUUUCCAAUAGAAGAAGAUAGGGUAUAUAUAGAUGGAGGGUUUGUAGACCCUACAAGUGAUAGGGGCCUUCAACUCCAGAUUUGGUUGAAAAUAAGUUCAGAAUUUGAGUUUAUCCACACACAAGGCAGAGAUUUAUAAAUUAUAAUUGGUUAGCCAGUCAAAGAACGUUAUUAGCAUCAAUUUGUAUAUAUUGUAAACGGAAAAGCGUUUGAACAUAAGAAAAGGGAAGUGAUUGAGAGUGUGAUUGUAGAGUUGCAGCAGCAGCAGCAUACCAGCUAAGCCAUGUGCCAAGUUUCACUUGAGAAGGCAAUUAAACAGAAACGCAUUUUUGUCCUCAACAAUACCCAACGCAGAUGAUUAUGAGUUACAGAUCAACAUGAGAGGUAUUAAAAUCCAUAAAAUGAAUAAAAUGAUAGAUAACAUAAUUACAAAAUGGAAGGGACCCCCUUCUCAUAUCUGCCACCUAUGGAAUAAGUUUACUGCCAACUGUCACUUCCCCUACAAAACCUUCCUUCCCUUUUAUACCCCUCUCCCACCCCACUUAAUUACCAUCGCCACCUUCUCCAUCACCCUUGUUAAUCCUAUCUGUAACACCUAACUCUUGUAAAAUAUAUCCUGUCUUUACCUCUUUGCCCUUCCUUCAUCUUUGACGUUAACGUCUCAUAUUUGCUGCAUGGACCGACACAAGUCAUUUGAGCAGCACACUUUUGCUGGCAUGAAUGGCCAAUAGGUCAUGCAUGUAAUUACCUUCCAAUUUUAAGGUUCCUUUGUUUCGUUGUAACUUGGAAGUAUGCAUGAUGUGUGUGCUGGAUUGCUCAGUCACUGCCUUCACACUAAUACAUACUUUUAAUUUAUAUAUGUGUGUUGAUUUGGAAGGACAAGUGGCUGCAACACUUGCUCUCAUACCUAUACUUUGAUUAGUUAAGGUUAAGGACUAGAGAGAGAGAGAACAUUUGGAAAACACAAGAUGGGUUAUUGGAAGUCCAAGGUUCUUCCCAAGAUCAAAAAGGUUUUUGAGAAGAACAGCUCUAAGAAAGCUGCAGCUGCUGAGGCCACCAAGUCCUUUGAUGACUCUAAGGUUUCAUCAUACUUUUUUUGUUUCAAUUCAACUUCUUUUUAUACAUGUGUUGGAUUUGAAACAACCUAGCUAUGUUAUGUGUGGUUAAUUUGGUGUUUGGUUUGUAGGAGGAAUACAGCAAAGCCUUUGAAGAAAAGAAGACUGAACUUCAAACUAAAGUAGUUGAAAUAUAUGACAGUUCAUCAACUGAAAUCAAGGUGAGAACUGAGAACACACACACAUACACAUGUGUGUAUAUAUAUAUAUAUAUAUAUAUAUAUAUAUAAUAAAAGAAAUAAAAGGAGAAGAGCCAAACCAUGAUUGAUGGGUUAAAACUUUUUAUCAUCUUGUAGAGUUUGGUUAAAGAACGCAAAGAAGUUGGGCUAAAGAAGCACUCCACAGAAGUUGACAAGUUCCUAGAAGAGCUUGUUAAAAUUGGUAAAGUGAUUAUGGUCAUUUUAUAAGUUUUAUUUAUUGGCUAUUACCUCAAGUUGCAACUAUGAUCCCUAUUAAUGAUUCGACUGUUCUUAACUGAGAUGCCCUGAUAAAAUUUCAGAUUUCCCUGGAUCAAAGGCAGCAUCUGAAGUAUCUUCUAAGUUCGGACCAGCCUUGGCUUCGAGCUCGAUUUUCUUUGUUUUUGAGAAGGUGUCAACUUUCGUUGUUACAGAAGAGAAAGCAGAGAAAGAUGGAACUGCAGAAACUAAAGCAGAAGAAACAAGUAGUGGUACUGUCCAAGAGAGAGAGAUAGUGGUUGAAGAGGAGAAAAAGGUGGAAGAAGAGCCAUCUGAGGCUGCUGCAAAAGAGGAAGAGAAACCUGGUGAACCAUCUGAGCCUGCUGCAAAAGAGGAAGAGAAACCUGCUGAAGCUGAGAAAGGAGAACCACCAAAACCUUGAUGUAGCUGCUUCUUGAAGAUGAUGCAGCAGAUAUACGUGUACUCUUAGUUUGCAUAUACUCAAAAUUGUCACAUAUCAUUUCCUUAUUCUUUUAUUCCUGUGUAAAAUCGGUUUUGUGCUGCUUAGUUUGAUAUUGUUGUUGCAGAUUUGGUGAUUAAUAUAUGUGAAUGUUUUAUGGUGAAAUUGUUUUGUAAUUUUUUAUUUUCAUUUUUCACUCAAGUAACUGUGAGAUUAAUUUGGUUUAUUGAACCAUUCUUACAGCUAUCUGUUCUUUCAUUUAACAGUUAUCAGUUCCUCUAUGAUGGAAAGUUCUGUUUGGCUGAGUUUACAUUUAUUCUUUUGCUGUGUUCAUUCACUGCUCAUGCUCAUGCUUCCUUAUUAUCAUGGUUGGUAGAUUCUUGUCAGCAACUUUACCCCUAAAGGAUGAAUUUGGCUCUCUGCAGGUUUUUUUUCUUUCUGUAAUAUCUGUAUCUAUAAGUUACACACAUAUAUAUAUAUAUAUAUGGAUAAUAUUUGAUACACAAAAAAUAUUAAUGCAUAUUUUAAGAGAUAAAGAGUUUAAAGAGAACAAGUUUAUAGAUGAGAUGAGACCAAAAUGAUGCUGACAGGAGAUGUAUACAAUUCUUAAUAUAAAUGAGUUUAAAAAUAAAUAUGUGUAAUAAAAAGUAAAUUUAAAAAUAAAUAAUGUAAAAAACAUUAAAAUAAUGAUAUUAAAAAUUGUAAUGUGGAUAUAUAAAAAAUUAAAUCUCAAGAUAUGUAAAGAAGAAUAUGUUAAAUAAGUGUUUAUUAAAAGAUGGAUAAAUAUCAUUGUCAAACAGUUAUUUCUCUACCCAGAAUAGAAUGUAUGCUGUGACACUGCUUUAAGAUUUGAAAACAUGAAAAAAAGGGAUAUGUUUACUUCGAGAAAACAUAUAUUUUUAUUUUUCUUACCGAAUUUAAACUAAAAUUUGAUUAAAAAAUUAUUUUAAUAUUGUACCAUUAUUUUAAUAUUGUACCUGUGGGGAGUAGAGGGUUCAGGUAAUAUUGGAGGUUGGGUAGACAAUUGUCGAUGUGUCGGUUGUUCUUGAGUUUCUUCAAGCUUUCUUUUCUAAUUGUAGAUGCUUUGUUGGUUGGGGUGUGCGAUAAGUCAGUGCUAUGAUUUAGGUGUGUUCUCCAAUAAUAUAAAAAACGUACAUCAUUUUCUCAUAAAGAGUUCUAUUUAUAAUGUUGACUCAUGAGCUGGGCUGGAUAGUUAGUUAACAACUUACAUGCUUAAUGGUUCCAUGAUAUCAUGAGAGUGUAUCUUUCGAGUUUAUCAGUUUCUAUCGUUAUAUUGAUGUUUCCUUGAUAUUUCGGAGUGUGCAUUUGACUCAUUCAACAGUAUUUGUAAAUGCUUAUUUACUAUGUUGUAAAUGAUAUUUGUCUCGGGUGGUUAGUUACCCGGUCGUCCGGUCCGACCAAUACAAAUAUUAUUUUAUUUUCAAUUAUGAACAUGUUUUUCUGAAAAUAUUUUCUAAAAUUCAAGUAAAUUUAUUCUCCAUACUUUUGUUUUUUUUUUUUUUUAAAAUAACGAUCAAGCCCUACCGGCUUCUACUUUAAAAAGAGUGACUACAUUUUUACAUUUUUAUUAUGUCAUAUAUUAUUUAAUUAAUUUAUAUUUAUAUAUAUUAUUAUAAUUUGAGAAUAAUAUUUUAUUAUUAAAAAGGAGUAGUUAACUAGUUGUCUACAAAAAAAAUUGAUUGUCAACGAUUCAUUUUCCAUUUAGAAAUGCUUUCAAUUGUUUUCAAAUCAAAUUCUAAGUUUUAUUUAAAUUAUGUAAUAAAUAAUUUGAAGAAAUAUAUUAUAUAUUAUAAAAAGUGAAAAAUUAAGUUUAGUUGAAAAACGGGGUCAAACAUAUAUAUAUAAUCCUAUAUCUAAAAUUCAUCGUUAUGCAAUAAAUUCUUUGAUAUUGAAUAUUAGAUAUAGGUAUAAUAGCAAGAAAACAUUUCAAUUUUUUAUAUUAGUGAGAAGUGAAAAGAGAUUUCAAAUAUUCCGCUUAUAAUAAAAAAACAAUAUUUUAUGGUAAAAAAAUUGUUGCAAAUUUUUAUUUUAUGAAUUAUGAAAUUGUCGAAAUAAAAAAAAACGUCAUAUCAAAAUUUAUAAUAUUUUUUUAGGGGCAUAACAAUGAGGUUUGAUUUGUUUUUUUUAAAUAUAACUGAACCAAAUAUAAAAUUAUGUGCUUUUGAUUCAGUUCGAUUUGGUUUAAAUAUAAAAAUAAAAAAAAAUCAAACCAAACCAAUUUUUUCAGUUUGAUUUGGAUCAGUUUUUUUUUAUUAUAGAAUUUCUUUUGUACAUGCAUUCAAUAUAACGAUAUAAUAUUAUAUUAUGAUGAAUAGUUUUAUUCACUACAUUAUAAUUAAAUAUUUGUUCUCUAUAAUAUUGUAUAAAAUAUUAUACAAUUUUUUAUCAGCAUUUAUUUAUAUAUAUUAAUAACAUUCCUUUUUUCAUAUCAAUAAACAGAAAAAAUAAAAAAUAAAAGAACUAAGGUGAUUUUGUUUCAUACAUUGCAAUAUAAAUACUAGAGAAUAUAUAGCUUCUACCUCUAAUAAUCUUAACAAACUCACCACACACAUGAAAUUUAAAACAUAAAAAUUAAAAUUAGUUCCUCUAUAUUGUUUUCUUUUAGAAAUAUUUUAUUUUAUCUUAACACUUUUCUUUCAAGUUAAUAAUCUAAGAUUUACAAGAAUCUUUCACCUCAUUUAGAUUUUAUUCCUUUGUCACGUAAACUCUUAAAGGUGACUUCGUACUUAGGGGUGGCAAAACAGGUCAGCCCGCCCCGCGCUUUGCUCGUAAAAAUGCAGGUCGGGUUGGCCUGCUCCACAAAGUUAUUGCAGGCUAGAAUUCCCGACCCGCCCCGCAUAAGAGCUGGUAUGCAGGUUUGCGGGUCAGUUCGCGUUCUUUUUACUUUUUCUUUUUUUUUUACAUUUUGUUUUUUAAAAAUUGUCAAAUUAAACUUAUAUAUUUGUUACAAUCAAACCAAAAUUAUUUUUUUCUUUCUUUUCAAACAUAGUCAAACAUCAAAACAUUAAACAUUAAGAUAAAUAUCAAAUAUCAUUAUUCUUCCACUUUCAAAACAUUAAAAAUACCUAAUUCCAAAACAUUAAACAUAAAUAUAAACAUUAAUUUAAUCACAUUAAACAUAAACAUUAUUGACAUUCUUCCAUUUCAAUAACAUUGGAUCCCGCCUUAGAAGAACUUUCAUCCAUUUUUUCAUAAUUAUAAUAUUAUCCGUCAUCUGCACACAUUAAAACAAUGGCAAUUUUUUUUCUUGCGAGUUAGCGGGUCAGCCCGUCCCGCCCCGCUGCUGGCCCGUGCGGACCGUAGGCUAAUGCGGAUUAGCAGGUUGAAAAGGUCAACCCACCCCACGUGUUUUACCAGCGGGCCGCGGCCCGACCCGCAUGGCCCGACCCGCUUUGUCAUCCAUAUUCAUACUCACAACCGUACAAUAAUUAUUGGGUUUAUUAAAAAAUAUUUAAAAAAUUAAACACAAUAAUGCACAUACCUCUUCUUCGUAGGAAUGUGACACACCAUUUAUUCAAAUAAGUUAUUGUGCUUUAGUCAACAACUUUGUUAUUAUUUUUUUUUUUAUAAGCAGAUUUCCAAUUUUUCUCUCUAAUAUGUCAAAGUCAAGAUAGAAAUGAAAAAUAAUAUAGGAAAUAAUAAAGUUUCUAAUAAAUUUGUGUCUCACUCUCUUUGAUGUCUUUUUUUUCAUUAAUUUUUUUGUAACAUAAAUAAGCACCAAAAACUUUAGCCUUUCUUUUUCUUUUACUCAUCCUAAAUUCAUAAAUUCAUUAGAAAAAAUUUAUUAGCACUAUCACCAAAAGGCAAAACAAAACUAAAUGCAUCACAAGUAACAUUAUCACUAGAAACCAAGACAGAACUAAAUGUAACAAAUAAUUUUGGUCAAUUUAUUUUAAAGGAAUUUUUUUCAAAGCAAAAACAUCUUAGAUUCAUGCUAGUAUUGUUCGAAAUUUCAAUCACUUCGGAAUUAAUAAGCAAGUAGAAUUAUGUAAAGAAUAACCUAUAAAGAUACUUUCAAUUAUUUUAUUUCUUAUUUUUCUUUUUUUAUUAAGAGGUAUGUUAACCAAUUAAUUUUUAUUUUUCUCUUUCAACUAUUGGAUUGAAGAAUAUAGGCAGGUAUUACUUCAUAAUAAUGUCACAAGUUCCAAAAAAUCACACAUUUCUUCUUCACUAUUUAAGAAGGAAAUUUUUUGAAUGACUUGAACAUUUCAUGACACAUAUGAUAAAAUAUUAUCUCUAACUUUUGCAAUAAAAGGAAUAAUAAAUUUUUUUCUUUAAGAAUGUUAGUAAUUUUGAGUUGUUGAAUUAAUUAGAUGAUGGAAAUGAAAUGUUUAAUAUACAAUUGGAAUUAGGGCAGCAUAUGAAUCAUGAAUCAUGGAUGAAGAUGGGAUUUGCAUCUUAAGCUGUGUUUGUAUCCGGGUGAUUAUUGUUCACCCGGAUUGAAAAGGAAAGAAAUAGCUUGUUUGUAUUUGGGAAUUUGUGGGUAAUAGAGAACGAAGAAAAGCGAAGAAUGUGAAAUAGGCUUCUCUGCUGGAUUGAGAAGAUUAGGUGAAAAACUCUUUGAUUUUACCAUAUUACUCAUACCUCACCUACUACCUUUUUGUCACAGCAGCAUGCCCGUGUCAUGCAGUGUAAUAUUAUGAGAAUGAAAUUUGGAGAAAAAAAUUUUGUAAUUUAUUUUAUUUAUGUUAAUAGAAUGUUGCUGCCUUUUAAUUUUUCAAAGGUUUUCCUUAAUCACAUGAGUAUAUUAAUAGCAUUAAUGAAAGUUUGAAUGAGUUUUUUGGUAGUUAAAAAAAAACUUAUUAAUAUUUAAAUUUUUUCUGAUAUUUUUAUGUAUAAUAUUUUUUUUCUAAAAAUAAAGUAAAAAGCUUUAUAAAUAUCAGUUUAAAUUUAUAAAAUAAUUAUAAGUAUACAAAAUUUUUAAAUUUUUCUAAAAUCAAGUAAAAAAAUUUAUAAAAACUUCACAAAUAAUCAAUCAAAUUAAUUUUUUUAUCAACUUUUAAAUAUAAGGACAAAUGUGUAAAGUUACAUUUUUAUCAAUUAAAAAAAAUAUAAUUUCAAUCACAUCCAUCACAUCACUCACAAACUUUUACAAACUUUCCCUACAUUUUCUCCUCUAUUUACUUUAAUCCAAAUAUUCUAACUUUCUUUACACUUUCUCUUCAAAUCAUCUCAAAUUCGCUCCAUCAUUUCCACUCCCUAAUCCAAACAAAGCCUAAAAGACAGCGGGAUCCUUCAUUUUAUUCCUUCACACCAUAAGUUUUUCUUAAACCAAAAGUCUGAGCCCAAAAAAUUUAUUUGCCACUAGCUUUUUCUAUAUAUACACUCAUCAAUUUCUUAAAUUUGGGUCCAUGUAUUUCCCCAAUGUUUUAUUAUAUCUUUUUUUUAUAUUUCAACCACAAGUUUUCUUAAAUCUGGGCUCACACGUUUAGCCCAGUAUUUCUACUAUUUGCCACCUGUUUUUUUACAUAUACAGUCAACAACAGUUUCUUUUUCCAAAAGUAAAAUAAAAUAUAUAUAUAAUUUUAGCACCUCAGUUCAAAAAAAAAUUAAAUAUUUGUAUGACGAUGUGUUAUUUGAUAUUUAAUACAAUUGUUUGAGUACCUUACACUAUUUUUUUGAAAAAUUAAAAAAUAUGUUUUUUUUCAAAUAAAAUUCAUGCAAACAGUCAACCAUAUCAAUGAUUAGAUUACACUGUUUUCAUUUAUUGUAUAAUUUUUAAAGGGUAUUAAACAUAGUCGUUAGUAUUAUCUUAUACUCCAAUCAGCGUGAAUAAUAAAAGACAUAAAAUCUCAAAAAAUAUAAAAAAAUAAAUAAAUUAAAAUAUAUCAAUAUAAAUAAAUAGCUUUGACCUUAAUAAUUAUUAUGAAUGAAAAUAUGUAAGAGCAAAAUUAAUCCUUGUUGGGUUCACUUUUUCAAAAACCUAACUCACACCGACAAAAACUCAGUUCUUUCAAAAAUGUCAUUUUCACUCUUAGAAUUAUGUAAUUCUUGAUUUUUCAUUAUGAUUGAAAAUAUGUAGGAGUAAAGUAAAUCAUUGUCAUACCCAAAAUAAAACAUUUCAUAAAUAUUUUCUUUAUUUUUACAUGUAUUUUUGUUUUUUUUUUUCAAAAAAAAUAAACAUUUUAAAAAAACUACAUUUUUUUGCACAUUUAAUUAAAUGUAUAAUCUAAGAACGAACAUGGUAAGAUGUUAACACCUUCCCUAUGUAUUGACUCUUGGAUCCUAAAUCUUGUUUUGUAGAUCUUUCUUUUUGGUUUUUUCUUAGUUUUCCAUAAUAAAUUAUGGUAACAACUCUUUUAUUUUUCAAAGUUUUUUUUCAUCGUCCUCUCGUGAAACCAUUUGCGACAAUAGUAAUAAAUAGGAUUAAAACAAGAUAACUAAAGUAACUUUGACUCAUUAACUCAUAAAAGUAACAUUCAAAGCACUCACUCAAUAAAGCAACAUUUAUCUUUAAAAGUAACAAUAAUAAUGAGAUUAGAUUAUACUAAUAUUUCCAACAAACACAACCUUCUAUAAGAAGAAUCAAGCAUGUUCGUCCAAGCAAAAUCCAAUAACAUGAUAUAUCGAGUUUAAAGGAUUACAUUAUCAUAACUACAAAGAAGAAAUCAAUAAGAAGAUUGUUUUACAAAAGUCAAAAUUUUAGCAUAUAUAAAUAUAAGAUGUAGACACAUAAACAAAACAACAACACUACAAUCAUUAUCUAAAUUAAAUUUUUGCUAGCCUAUAUAAUUUGUAUCUUAAUGUUAUAUGAGUGAGUGUGAAAUAUGUAAUAUUCUUCAUCUAGUGAAGUAAACAUCAUUGUAAGUGAUGAGCAUAUAUUUAUUCACACACAAUAGCCUUAAUCAUAGAUUAUUGGACUAUAAUAAUAAAUAAAUCCAUUGUUUUAAUUAAUAUUCUUAUAAUUGGGUUUAUUUGGGCCUUAACUAUUAUUAUUGUUAAUUUUGUGUUUUUAGAGUAAAUUAUCUGGAGGAAGAAUCUACCUUUGUGAAUGGGCCAAAUAUGCAAAAGUCCAAGUUGCUUCUUGAACCAAAAUAGAAAACAAAUUUUGAGGAGAAGAAAGAGAAAAUAAAAGCUACAAGAUUUCAGAAACAGAAUUGGAAGCAAAUCUUCUGCAAAAUAAAAAGAAUUAUGGAAAGUGGAAACUGUUUACAAAAUCUAAACUGCAAUAUUUUCCCAAGAUCCUUGGAUCAGAAAAGCCUAUAAAAGGACACAAGCAUCAAGGAGAAAAAGGAGAGCUUCAUAGGGUUUUCUUAGUUUAUUUUCUUCUUUGUAAUUCUUUUGUUUUGCCUUUCGCAUGGAAGGCUAAACCUUUUUGAUUGAUUCUUUUGUAAUUCCCCAUUGAGUUCUGAGGUUUCAUUCAAUAAAAGUUUCAUUUUUCAAUUCUAUAUAGCAAUUGUUUUUAUAGUCUAAUCUCCUGGAAAACUGGUUUUUGUGAGAGGUUGUACUUGAACGCAUGAUUGAAAGUCUUCCUUAUCUUAAACUUUGGUUUCUUAGUUAGUUCGCGCUUUUUCUAAUUAAUUUCUUGGGCGCAUGAUUCAAGAGAGAGGAGGUAAGCAUUCCCAUGGAGUAUACGCAUGGAACAAAGUGGUUAUGGAUUAAAACAAUAGACGCAUGCUUUACUGGUGAGUUUCAGUUGAAUCAGAUUGGUGCAUAUUCAAUCUGGUUUAGCUCUGUUGGAGGAUUGAGAAAAGAUUAAUCUUUAGAGAACCUAUGAAGAAUUAAAUGGUGGAAGAACUUGGGAUCAACCGCUUUUUAUUUGCUAUUUUAAUAUCUUUUAUAUUUUCUACACAACUAUCUCAAACUCCCUUUUCAUCUUUAUUGUUAUUGCUAACUUUUAUUGUUUGCAGAUAGAUUUUAAACCCUGAUCAACUGAUUUUACUAUUGGAUUCGUUGAGAGAUGACUUCGAGACAUUUGUCCACAAUUAUACUAUCAUCUCUCUAGUGUUAGACAAGUCUACGCUAGAAUCAUAUUAAUUUGACAGCAAAACGAUAGCUAUCAGUAAGAAAACUUUAUUGUAUAUCAGAAUCAUUCCUUAGGAUUCAACCUUUGUAUAUUGUAUACAAAUUGAGGAGAAAAUUUAAAUAUUAUGACAUAUAUGAAACUUUGGGUACAAAACUAGGGAUUGGAACGAAAGAAUGAUUUAAUUGGGAAAGACAACUUCUACAACAUUUAGGCAUAAUAUCUCCACCAUAAAACAACCAAAGAAAUGUGUAAUAGACAUUAGAUAUGGAAAUGGUACAAGUACAAAACUUAGUAAAAUAUGCAUAUGUAUUGAUACAUCAAUAAUAAGAAGUGAAUGACAAUACCUUCUUCAAUACAUUUUGGAGUAUUACCAUCUAAUGUAUUUUUUUUUUACUUUGAAUUAUUAUUAACCACAAAAAAUAAUUUGACUAAGAGGUACAUUGACCUACACUCAAAUGUUUUAAAUUACUAUUUUUUUAACCAAGAUGAAGAAAAUGCAAGCCAUCUUAUAUUCUCAUCUCUAGUCUAGUUUUUAAAUCACACUCUUAACUAUUUUGAAAAAAUUAUGAACUUUUCCUUUUCAUUGUUUGAGUGACAACAUUAUAAUUUUCUCAUUUAUGUGUAAAAAAGUUUAGGUAUCCUUUACCUACAUUUAUGUUAAUCUUUCUCGUUGUUCAUUUAUAAAAAAAAAAUUGUUCAUUCACUUCUUUUAUUUGUUGACAAUGCAUGAAUGAUCAUGGAGUAAUAUUUUCUCUUCUAAUUGAUUUAUGAUUAACAAUAAAGGAAUUUAUAUCAAUUUAAAUAUUUAAUAUUAAAUAAAAUUGUAAUUAUUUCAAUUUUAAAUCUAAAAGAUAACAUUAUUAGGUUAAUCACCACAUUCAAGAGAUAUUGUCCGUUUUAAAUAUCGAUGUGAGACUAUUUUGUUGUUAAAAACGUUUUGUGAGUUAAAAGAGGAAAGAAUAUAUAAAGUGUCAUUAGAGACUCAACUCCGAUACGGGACUACUAAGUAAUUAUUUAAAAAAAAAAAAUCUCAUUCCAAUCUUUAUAAAAAAAAGAGAAAUAGAGAGAGUAGUAGGUUUGAAAGUAGAAAAAAGAUUGAAACAUGCAGAGAGUGUGAUGGCAGUUUCAUUCAUAGGGAAUUGUUGCAAAGGUUUGAUAACGUUGUAACGCUAUUAAUUGUGAGUUUGUGUUUGAGAACUUCAACACAUGAUUCAUUUAAGGAUUCAUUCCAAUCUUUGUUCUGUGUUCGAUCCAUGAAUUUAAUCAGAUGGUUCAAAACAUCACAAUUAAUGCGUAUUAUUUAUUGAAUCAAAAACAUGGAAUGAACCAGCAAACGAGAUCAGAUCGAUGUUUGGGUGUUAGAAAUUGUGACGUUAUUCACACGUGGAAAAAAGUUUAGGGAUUCAUUCAUACCUAUAUAAUCUCAGAUUGAAAAGUGGCACCACACCAAAAACAAUUCUGAGGAAAUGGAUCCAAAUCCUGACACAAUUAAGGAGGAUUUGAACCGAUUUAGGCAUUCUGUCUCUGAAAAUUUCAACAAAGUUCAAAAGGUGAUUUCUCAUUUCGUAAUUCAUAACCAUUUCUUUGUUUUUCAAUUGGACCCCAUUAAUUUUGGAAUAUCACUUGCAAGUGUGGUUGAUGUUGCAUUUCGCUUUCCAAUUUCUUGACUUCUUAUGUUAAUUCAUUGUUUUCUUUUACCUCUGUUUCUUGUCACACAUGAAACAUUUGUUAUUCUGGUAUAGAUCUAACAUGUCUUGUCGUACUAGUCACGUGUGAGACAAAUCAAUAUUUUCCCACUACCAUACAGUAUUGCUACUGAGAUUCUUUAUCAUGUUGGACUAAAUAAGACUCCUUGCAUGAACCCACUGAAACAUUUAAUCCACAAUUCGAUCAAUGUAUGAUGUAACUUUUUUUACCUAACUAUUAUUUCUAGGGUUACAAUAUGAAGUUAAUUGAUGCUAGAAUAAUUGGUACUUUUUUUCUAUGUCACUUGUCAAUAGCCAUUUUUUUUUUUGCAAUUCAUUCACUUGAGGGAGUUAAGUCUGAAUUCAAAGCUAAUUUAUUUAUUUUGGUUCAAUUGGAGGUGCAAAUUACUUUUAAGUUACAAAAAAAUAGUAGUAGGUUGUCUGUUUGCUUUGUCUUGCACAAGAGUUACAUUUGAAAGUUUUGUUGGAUGAGAUUUUGUUUUGGGACCUACAAAUUUGAUUUCAAUUCAGAAAAUUUGCUUUGAAAGCUAAAUAGUUUUGACACUCUUUUUUUUUUAUAAAGGUUUCAUGUUUCAACAUUAAUAUGUAACUUGACAUCUCAGUUAUACUGAUAUUUCAAGUAAUAACAAUUAUCUGUCAUCACACGGAAAUAGUUUUGGCACUUCAGCAAUCAUGUUUUAUACCCAAAUUCGUGGAAUACCAACCUAGCAAAUACUGGUAUUAGUGCAAGUUCUUGGAAACCUUUUUUCUAAUGCUAAUGUUUUUUUAUGAAACUGCUGUAUGUGUCAUGGUUCUUGUUUCAGAUUAUGGGAGGAUAUUUAGAGUUUACCGAGAAUCUAUGUGAACUUAGGAAAAUAUUUAUGAUUUUCAUAAACUGUUGGUGUAUUUCAAUGAAUUUCUAUGACUUAUUAAUAUAAGUUCCUUUUAGCUUAUUCCAACAAGAUUGAGAAUCAUAUUUAUAAUGCAAUUCUUCAUGUAAUAAGAAGUUAUUGAAUAAGUAUUCAAGUUAUUUUACUGCUGGUUUUCUUUGAACUAUUUAUUUUGAAAUUGGCAAUGAGUUGAAAAAAAAUGUGUCAUGUCUACAGCUUGAAGAACAAGUUGCUGAGGUUGAAAAGUUCUACCGUUCCUCAAAAGCUCAAGUUAAUAAUGUGAAAGACAAAGGCAGGGAGAAGCUUGUUAUUGGCAGUAGAAGGUCACAGCAAGGUGCAUCAAGUAAGGAACCUAAUUCUUCAAACGCAAUGCAAGAGGUUAUGCAGCAGUUUUCCACAAUUUUUCAUCAGGCAAGUGCAAAUACCUUGCAACUAUUUUUGUUAUUUGAGAUUUCAAUCAGGGACCUACAUGAAAAAUUGGUCGCACCCCACUUGAGUAAAUAUUCUUUCUGCUGGACCUACAUGAAUUGAACUUGAACCAUUGAUCAAUCAAAACCAUUUGCUCAGCUUUCAAUGACAGACAUCAUUAAUUGUUUUGCCAUGAAUUGGUUGUGCUUGUUAUCCAAAUGGGACCUGCAUUGAAAUUCCAUAUAAUCCCUUUACCACUAUGUUCUGAGCAUACAUCCACAAACAUUUUUGUCAGCUUGCCUAUGUGACUCUAUGAGGCUUCAUGUGACAGUGUUCUUGUCUAGUUUAAAGUUAGGGUUUAAGGUUUAGUGUUCUUGACUCAGUUGCUGAUAAAAAAAAAAGUGUUCUUGCCUCAGUAUUUUACUCAUUUUCUUUGUUGCAUAUACCAUCCAUUUGCCUUCCUUGCACCCUGACUAUUCAACCAAAUUUCUACUUAAGUUAACCUUGCUUUUCUAGUAUAUAGUUUUACUUUGGUUUCUUCUCUUCAUGUCAUUAAUGUACAGAUAUAUAUUUUAGGUUUUGUUCAUCAGUUUUAAUAUUUUUGCAUUUCAACUCUAGAAUGUUAUGCAAUUUGUCUUUCACAGAUGUAACUUUUGGUUAUAAAGUUUGCUUGUUUAUUGAAUUUCUUUUCUUCUUUGCUUCAUUGUCACUGUAUUUCUCUUAGAUUUCCAAGUUCUAAGACUAGGUAAAUAUAGUCAUACACUAUUUGGUGCAAUUUGCACCAGAAAAAAUAUAUUGCGAAAAAGUGUUAGCUUGUUUUGAUCUACCAAGUUUCCUGCAGAAAAUCAAUAGUGAUACAUUUGUUUUUCUUCUCAGAUAGCUGAGCAUAAAUGGGCCUGGCCCUUCUUGGAUCCUGUAGAUGUUGAAGGUCUUGAGUUGCAUGACUAUCAUGAGGUAUUUAAUUUUUCUUUUCUUUAUAAAGCUUUUUUCAUGAUUUAAACUGUAAAUAUCUAGGCAAGAAAAGCUAUAGAUAUAUUAUUUAUGAGUUGAAAAUAUGAAAUAUUGUUGAUGAUUAAUCCUGGGUUUCCUCCUUUUUACAGAGGAGAGAAUUACAUUAGAUGAAAUAAGGAAAUUAAAUCUUAAAGAGGAAAGAAAAUAUGACAAUAAUGAACUACCCAAAAGUACGUUAAACAAAAACGAUAACAGAGUAAUCAUACAGAAAAUAGUAUAAUUACUAGUUAUACAGGGAAACAAAUUAACUACCCCAAGAAGGUAAUAUUCAUGCUAACAUGAAGUUUUUUUGUGACGGGAUUAAAACAUAUAUAACCUUUUUUUAGUUGGUGAAUAACCAAUGUUGAUGCAUCUUUUGGGUCUAAUUUAGAAAGAGGUAGAAGAUGUAUGCAAAAGAACAAUUCAAUUAAACAAUUUUAAAGGUAAAUCAAAAUGCAAUCAACACGAUGAUUUUUUUUAUUUUUACAAAGAAGUGUCCAAAGUUGGGACAAUUUAACAGAAAUUGGAAUUUUAUUUUUGAGAUAGGUUGUUGUUAGGACAACAUCCACUUUGUAACAUUCCUAUCAAACAUGUAUAUAUUAUAAUUUAGUCAUAUCUUUAGUCGAUAUGAUCUCCAACACACUUCCUAUACUAAGAAUUUGAACAUCUCAAAUGUGGGACUGUAGCGAAACCUGAUAAUGGGUGACACGUGUCCCAACAAACUUUGUUAAGAUAAACUUUGAUACCAUCUUAAGAAAGUAAAAUUUAAGUCUAUCUAACUCAACUGUACAAAACCAACUUAGUAAAGUGAAAUUUGCACUCAUUUAUAUACUAUGAUUUAACCUUAGGUUGCUAACAAAUACCUUUAUUCUGAAAGAAUUUUUUGUAGUCCUUAUUGAAGUAUCUAGUGUCGUUGUCACUUCUCAAAAUGAAUACUUUUGUGUCAAAUUGUGUUUCUACCAUCUGUGGAAGAACUAAUAUUACCAAGAAUUUCAUAUUGCAACUAGAAUCCUUGCAAAAUUGGCUAACAGAAAAGUCAACGUGUUCAAAUAAUUGCUUUAUCACUGUUACUGGUUGCCAACUUCAUGCUAAAAUACUGUCUUAACAGGGUUCUUUGUUUAAUGCUUUAUUGAAAUAUUUUGUUUAAUUUUCUUCUCUUAGAUUAUUGCAAAGCCUAUGGAUUUCAGUACGAUAGAAAAGAAAAUGAAUGCAAAGGAUGGUUCUGGUUAUAAGAAUGUGCGUGAGAUAUAUUCUGAUGUCAGGUUGAUUUUUAAGAAUGCAAUGAAAUACAACAACGAAAAACAUGAUAUCCACAUUAUGGCAAAGUCAUUGCUGGAAAAAUUUGAGAAGAAAUGGCUGCAACUGUUGCCUAAAGUUGCUCAGGCGGUAAUCUCUUUUCCCCAAAUAUUUUUUUUUCUUUGGAUGAAUGGAACUUUCUUAUAUAUAAUUCUGUAGGCUGCAGAUACGAAAUAGUCAAAAUCGUAGUGAUUUUUAGUCAUUCUAUGAACAUUUUACCAAAUAUUCAUACCUGUUCAUGUGAUUAUAUCAGGAAAGUGAACAAUUAAAGGAAGAAGCAAAUGCCCAGUUGGAAAAGCAGCUUGUUCAAGAAGCUACUUAUGCCAAUAUGGCAAAGGAUAUAAGCCUUUCGGUUGAUAUACUAUUUCCUUGUUAAGUUGUGUGUAAAUUUAGUGCAUUACUUAUCAGAUGAUUAAUGAGUUUGCUUACAUGUUGUUUCAGCUAUGCGAGGUUGAGGUGCAGUUAAAGAAUCUCAAAGAAAUGGUUAUUGAAAAGUGCAGGUUCGUGAAAUAGUCGUCCCUUAAUAGUUAAUAUUACAUUGGGGAUGAAGGUCAAAUUGCAAUAAAUGAGUGUUAUUAGUCAUCUGUGUUUACUGUCCUGUCUUUUUGACAAUGAAGUUAAAGUGUUUUUAAAAUCUUGAGACUAUGAAGGAUAUUAAAUACAAAAUGGUACUUGAAUUUAUAAAGGUAUACCAGCACCUAGUUACAAGUACAUUUGGUGGAAAGGUAUCACUAACUUCUCUACCUACUCAUGCUGUUCAUUAAAAGGAAUAUCAUGACAAAUAAUAUCUUUGAUGAUUUGGUCUUUUCUACAUAAAGACAAAUUUAUUAAAAGAUGGGAGUCCAAUGGACCUUUUAAAUCAAGAUUCAGUCCUAGUUUUACAAUAAGAAGAUAGACAUAACACAGGAUUUGACCACCAUUCUUAAUUAGACAUUGAUGCUUUUUCUUGUUUUCCUUUUCUCCACAACCAACUUCUAACUUUGACCGAUUCCCGCCCCCUCUUUUUGAUUUAGUUGAGAAGCCUGAAAGAAAUAUGGUUCCUGUGUAUCCAUAUAGAUAAUAAUAUGCAAAGUAAAAUAAGUCUCCAGCUGUUCUUGUGUUCCUUUCCUAGUGCCAUUCCUAGAUUUGACCAGAAAUGAUUCUUUGAAGCAUGGAAAAACUUUGCUUUUCCCACCCAACCCAACCAAACAGAACAACAUUGUCAAAUAUGAUGAGAGAUAUCUCUGAAGAUUUAGUAUUCAGAGCCAAAUGUAAUUGUGUGCUGCAUAUAGUCGAUCUCAGCUAGUCUGGUAAGGCUUUUGUCGUUGUUUGUAUUAAGAGUGUCAUUUUGGUGUUCUUCGUGGUUCAAUGCUUGGGAAAUAAAUGAUUUUGAAUUAGUUUUUCAGUUUUAAAUUAACUAAUCUAGUUGACAUUCUUCAUUGAAAUGAAGUGAUCAAGUUCUGAUAAUCUUCCAGAUUUGAGUAGAGUAUCUUUAGGAACUUUUAAUUGCUUUUGAAGUUAUUAAGUCAUUUUUGUAUGCAUUGUUUAGAGGGGUGUGCAUAUUCAUGAAGGUGCAAUAGAUUUUCGUUGUUAUGGAAUACACAAUCAUUUCAUUUAACCCUUGGAUACUUUCUGCUUUAAAGUUACUUUUCAACGAAUUGUUCUAUACUGAUGAUGUGACAUUGAAGUAUGAGCCACUCAUGAACAACAAUUCAACAUUGGAUUGUAAUUUAACCCUUUUACCCUUGCAUGAAUUGGUUAGUUUUAUUUAGAAAGUCACUGUUCACAAGGAUUAAUGCAGAUAUAUAUGGUCCAUAAAUAUUUGUUUUUUCAUAAUUUGAUCCUCAAAAUACGUGACUUUGAGUUCACUAUGUUAUUUGUUUGUCCAUGUUGUGGCAUUGUGUUGAUUAUGUGUAUUUUGCAUUGUUAUUUUGUUGGCAAUACUGCAGGAAAAUAUCGAUUCGUGAGAGACUGGAACUUGUGAAGUCUUUCAACAGACUGAAUUUUGACAAUCUCAACAAGGCAUUGCAGAUAAUUUGUGAGAAUGACCCAACCUUCAAACCUAAUGAUCUAGAAGUGAACCUUGACCUUGAUAAUCAGGUUUACAAUGUUACUCUAUAGCUAAUAAAGUUUGUUCUCAUUCAUUUUUGGUUGAUUCUGUCCUAACUAUCCUAAGUUGUUUUGUAUAGAAAGUGCUUUGGUGCUAUUAACCAAUUUGACUACUUUAUGCAGACCGACUACACAGUAUGGAAACUAAACGUUUUUGUCAAAAAAGCACUGGAAGAACAGGACAGAAAUGCUGCUGAGGAGAUAACUGUUCAUCACAAUGCUAACUUUGAGGAAAAGAAAAACACCAACAAAAGGAGGAAAUUGUGAUUCUUUUGCCGAAGAGAUCAAUGUAAAAGAAUUGAAAAGCCAUCGACUUUGUGAUUCACUUGUGCAGUACACAAGGCAUUAUCUUAGCUUUGAUCAAGCGGGAUGCUCAAUAAACUUGAACUGUUCGACAUGCUUACAAUGUUGUCGGAUACAGUGAUUAUAGAGACAACUUCAAGAUAUUCAAACAGAUUUUUUUGUUUGAAAAUUAUUGAGACAGUUUCUUUUACCAACAGGUGAAUCUUUAUCAUUUUCUUAAGAUGCAGGCUUUAAUGAAAAACCUAAGAAAAAGGGCACAAACUCCAUUAAAGUGCUUAUAUGUAUCAGAAUGACUCCACCCACUGGCUUCUGUCAUUUCACCAUUGCUUGGAGCAUUUCGAUAGUCGAUUGAAUGGUUUUGGUAAUUGAUUAUAUGGCUUGCAUAAUUGAUCAUAUUGGAUAAGUUACAUAAUUGAUAAUGUCUAGACUUAUUCCACAUUGAAUAUUUCUCUCCACUAUGUGUGAUUCUUAAGGCAAUGUGCAUUGCCUACUGGAUGAGAUGAGGAUGAAUAUUUAUGUUUUAUCAGAAAAAUUCAUGCUCAAGUAGGUAGUAAAUAAGUGAAUGGUCAUUUGGGUUAUGGAAUUUAAAAUAACAUAUUAGAUAUAGAAGAGAAGUUGAAUUGAGCUUAAAAGCGUUUUUGUCAACUUGGUGAAAAAGGGUUUCUACACAACCUAUUGCCAACACAAUAGGUUAAACAGUGAUGACGCAUCUCAAUUUAUCAACAUGUAAGAUGAUUUUUUAAUGAUGUAAUUGACUGAUAUUUCUAUCAUAACAAAAAGUGUGCUCAACUACAAUCAAGUAGCAAUCAUGAUGUUCAUAUCUGCUAAUAAAAAUCCUAAUUGCAAGUUACUAUAAAGCACAUAAUUCUCUGCAAUAGAAGCCUUCCCAUAUACUCUCAGAACUAUCAGAGAAGUCCCUGACUGUAGAAUUACUUCAACCAUUUACAUCAUUGAACCAGAUUCUGUUUGCAUAUUUAUAGUAAAAAAAUGCUUCUUCCACAUCCCAUAAUAAACAACCCUCCUUGUAUCUGAGGCAUAUAUAACAGAACUAAUGUGUGUAUGUGUGCAAACAGCAAAAAAUAAAGUGGGAUCAACUAAAAUAAAAACUAGAGUUAAUUCUUUUUGCAAAACUAAAUUAAAUAGAAAAAAGAGAUGAUGACUAACAACAAAACGAACAAGAGAUAAAAUAAAGACGAAAAAAGAUACAAAAAUAUUGAAAGAGAGGAUGGCUAAAAGGAAGUGCAUAUCCCUCUGCUGAAUUAGAGUAUCACAUGGAAGAUCUAAAUAACACCACCCUAUGUGCAUUUUCACCAUCCAUAGCCUUUGGAUAUUAGAGUUGUUUCCAACCAAAUUCCUUCCAGGAGCACACCUUGAAAGAAUCAGGUAAAAAAAAAGUUUGUAGUCUAUAUUGUAUCUUGCUGGGAAUAUCGAUAGAAUCAAAAGCUCUGGCACAACAUUGCAUCCACUGCUCCGUAUUUACUUCUAGCUAACAAAUUCGGGCGAGGAAAGAAAACCAUGACUAAAAUAUUUUGGCACCAAUCCUCUAUUUCAAAAAUCUGCUAGUACAAGUAAGAUCAGAAUUUAAACUUCUGUUUAGGCUUUUUCAUCACUGCACAUCCAAGGUCCUCAACAUUCUGCAGCAAAACAAACCUAAUUAUGUGAAUGGUAAAAGUCUCAAGGUAAAUAACCAAUCACAUUAACAAGUAGAGACCUUUCGCUUUUUGUUUUUCUUUUUUUCUUUCUUCUUUUUCUUCUUCUUGGAUUCCUUUACCUCAGAUAGUUUGUUCAGUUCUUCUUCGCUAGAAUCCUGUCAACAUCAAUGACAAACUGAGAAAGUGAAAAAGGCUGAUAUCUCAACUCAACAACUGUUCAGAAACCAUUAACACUAAUGAAGCAAGAACCUUAGGAUCAGAGUCACCAAAGGAGUCCACAUGCCGAAUAGUUCUUUGUAAAUUGGAAGUACCACCUAAUGUUGCAGGGAAUCAUAAAAGAUUAUACUUAAUGAAUAUAACAUAAAUUAAAUUAAAGACAUCGGAUAAAGAAACUAGAAACCAAAAUCCAAACAGAAAAGAUUAUGCCUAACAUUGCAAAAGGGGGAAAUAAAAUAGAAUGUGAGUUGUAUUGUAGCUCUAAUCUGCCUCUGUGUACUUGAUAUGAAAAAAUAAAUAUCACAGAACAGGAUAUAGUAUAAACAUUAAUCAUGAUUGCCCGGGUGAUGCCAAGCCAAGCCCAGAAUCCCCACAAUAGUCACAGCAAAACCACACUCAGUCUGAUGAAAUUUGAAUUUCUCAUACAACAACUUAAUAGCCAAACAAAUAAAAUAAUUUGUAUCAUUAAUUCAGUCCAUAAUCCACACUUUGUUGUUUUGGUCCCAUAUGUAAAAAUUGCAAACUUUAGUCUCUAAACAAGUAAAUUUAAUUUGUUUGGUCUUGGUCCUUGUAAUGCACAUGCUAUAGUGGCUUAUGGUGUUGGUGUCGCUGUUAAGACCCCUACAAAAUUCGUUUUUACUGCGUAAAACUGUCAUAUUCUUCCUCCACGAUUGAAAAUUUUCUGACAAUUUUACAUCGAUAGAAAAUUUUAGACAAUUUUAAGCCGCCAGAAAAUUUUUGCAGCAGUGCUACAACUGUCAAAGUUAUCAGAGUUAAAGACAACCGGUAGAGUCCAAAACACAUCAAAUAUGUUUGUGUGCACAGUCUAAAACUUACAAUCUUUACUUAUAAGGUCAAAACAGCAAAGUAUCAACAAGUAUAAAUACCAAAUAAUAUAUUAAUAAUUAAUCAAUGAAACAUAGACAACUAAUCUAAUACACAAAAAGGAGUACAACUUCAAAAAAGUUCUGACCUAAAAACAAAUCUACAUUAUCAACUAAUAAAAAAAAACAUCAUAUAUGAGUUUGAAAGGGAUUAUUGCAAAACUCUGCAAACUUAUCCUACAUCACAUUCUAUGAGUAAAUGAUUGUAUAAAAACAGUAAGAGUAUUAAAUUCAAGACAAAGGCCUUACAAGAGAGGAGAGAUAGAGUUAGAAGUGUUACUUGCAUGGACAGUUUGUUUGGCAUUAUUUACGGCCAGUUCAAGGAGAUCAGGAUUAAUAGAUGCCAAUCCAUUCGGGUCCUUCAACUUUCUCUCAAGAAACUUCGCCAAUGCCGCUGCUUUAUUUGUCGCCAAGGGUCCACCGGGAUGAGCCAACCUGUCACAAAAAUCCACCAAUCGAAAAUUCACGUCAGACCCACUAAAAUUGAAGGGAAGAGAAUUGAAACUGUGGAUUCAAAAUAAAAAAUUUGAUCAUGGGGUUGACAAUGAAGUGUAAAAUUGAAAAGGGAGCAAAAACCCUAAAAAGAAGAACAAACAAACCUAGGUUUAGAACUGGAACUACUAGGAAGAGGGGCGAAUUUGCUGCCACGAAGUGCCCUUCUUUCAUCUUCUGUCAGAGUUUCAAUGUCUUUCACCAUUUGGAUUUUGAGGAAAAUCUGCUGUUUCAGAUUCUCUGUUCAAAUCCUAGUUAUUCUUUCUUCUUUGUAGUUUGAAAUCAAUCUAAUCUUCUGUACACAAAAAUAACAAAAAGUUUUAUUAUUUGGAAAGGAAGUUGAGUUAGAUAAUAUUUUAUUUAAAAUUUAGAGAAUUUAAAAAACAUCUAUAAUAUACGAGUAUAAUUAUUAACUAUUAAUAAAGAGAAUUUUAUUGAUAGAUGUUCUUCUUUCUAAUUUAUACAAAUUCUGGUCAUUUUAUUUUUUUAUUAGCUGUUUUUUCAAACUAAAAUAAAUAGUUAUAAUAAAAAAAUUACCUACAGAAUAAAUAAAAACUACUUAAAAUAAAAUUAUAAAAAGUAUUUCUUGUUAUAAUUAUUUUUAUAACAAUAUUUAUAAUGUAAUAAUAUAUUUAUUUUAUUAAGUAUCUAGAUCAUUAUAUAAAGAAAAUAUAUUAUUUGGUAAAAAAAAAUAUGUUAUCUGAAAAAUAUUUAAUAAAGAAUUUAUUUAUUUAUCUAAUAAAUAAAUAAUUGAAUUUUUUUAUUUUAAAAUAACUAAAUAAUUCCCCUUUUAAAACAUAACAGCUAGAUAAUCUUUUAAUACUAUUUUUACAAAAUUAAUAUAUAUAUAUAUAUAUAUAUAUAUAUUAAAAUGUAUUGUUUUUUUAUUUUCAAUUAAUUAUUUAUAAUGAUAACAAAAUUAUACAUUUUAAUGUAGUAAAAAAUGUGAAUGCAUAUUCCCUCAUAUUUUUACCAGUUAUUUUCUAAUUACUUUUAGUGUAUUUAUUAUUAACUUUAUUAUUUAUAAACGUUACCUGCAAUAAGUAAUAUUUCAUUUUAAAUAUAUAAAUAUAAUAUUAUAAAAAUUAAUAAAAUAUUUUUAUUUUUUUAAUUAUUAUAAUAUUUACUUUUUUAUUUAUUAUUAUCAUAAAAAAUAGAUGCAGUGCAUCCGUAUUUUUUACUAAUAUAUUAUAAUCUUGUUCAAAAUAUAUUAAUUAUAUUAACUAAAUUAGAUAUUAUUUUAAAAAUAAAAAAUAAUUAGUUAUUAUAUAAACUAAAUUAAAUAUUAUUUGAAAGAUUAAUUUUUUUAUAACUAAUUUUAUUAUUAAAAAAUUUCUAAAUUAAUAUCUAUUUGUAUUAAUGUCUUAAAUGUAUCAAUUAAAUAUGUUUGCACUUUCAUAAAUGAAACUUCCUUACUUUUUAAGUCAUCUUAUCCAUACAUGUAUCAAAACUUAUUUACUAAUGAAUAUGAUCACUGGAAUAUGAAUGUGGUUAAAAAAAUUAUAACUAAUGCUUCAUAUAUUUUUUUAAAAAUGACUUGUAUAAUAAAGAAGAAAUUUUGGGCAAUCUAAUGCCCUUAGAACAUCAUUACAUUUAGCAGCACCUGAUGCAACAGAAGAGAGUUGCUUAAACAUAUGUCCUACUAUUAGAUAAACUAGUACAAACAAUUGUUGCUUAUAGGUUCUCUAAUGAUACAACUUCAUAUGCAAAGGUCCCUUAUUGAUAAGCUACUUAGGCUAAAGUUAUUCUUAAGUAAGGUAAACAAACAAACCCAAAGUAAGGAUUAUUAAUCAACAAAUAUAAAACAACAGUAUCUCAAUCUUCAACCUCAUUUUUUUCUUUCUUCAAACUUGAUAUCUUCACAGCAUGGAAUGAUUACAGAUGUUGUGCUCCCCCACCUUGCUGGUAUCUAUUGUCAGGAGCACAAUACAUUUGAAGAUAAUAGGAAUGGGGAGAGAUGAAUAAAUUUGGGGCAAUCAAGUAUACUGUGAAUUUACAGGCCUCUUUCUCAGCCUAAAAUCUUAAAAAGAGGCAAUAAAGAAAGAGGCCAAUCCAAUUGUAUUACAAUGAAAUGUGAUCAAAUCACAGUGUAGAAAGCACUUUCAAUGGCUGGACAAGUCAUGGCGGCUAAUUGUAUGGCAUAAGCACUACACAACAAAUACCCUUUCACUUCUCCAUUCACCAAUCAAACUAACCACCAAGGAAGAACUUGAAUAUGUCUCUCAAUGAAACAAUGCCUUCUACACGCUUGCUUCCAGCUUCCACAAUCACUAGCCGCCUCACACCCGACUCCAAAAUGAAAUCAAUGUGUAUCUGGGUAAAUUAAAACUUAACUUCUAUAUCAACUUAAACAAAAACAAACAAAAUGAAUGUUGCACAUUGUUGUAACUUGGACACAAUCGUUUAUAUUGACAUCUGGUAUGCAAUUCCAUCAACAAAAUCCUGAGAAAUAGCAUAUACUACGAAAUUUAGGCAAUAAAAUGGAUACAGUACAACACUUCAUUUUUUACGUUUUCAUUUCAUCCAUUUGGUACCUAACCCUAUUAAUAAAAUCUCAGAAAGCUUAUGCCAUGAAAAAAUAUCAGAAAGGUCUUGUUACAGCUUUAUGACUAGGCCCCAACUUACUUCCACUUUCUAAUAUUAAGCAACUAACUAUUUUAAAUAAGAGUUUUCUAGUCAAUUUCCCUUCAGUUUUUGUCAGUCCACUACCAUCAGAAUAUGUUAAAUGUUACAACCUUCUAAGCUUGGUAGAAUAUGUUAAAUGCUAAGUAAUAAUCUAUAUAAUUAUUAGUUUUGUCCUCCAUGUUAAUGAAAUUUGGGGUUACAUGUCUACAAAAUAAGAUAUUAGAUUUUACCAAGCUUAGAAUAUACAAAUGAAGGUUGAUAGCAACUGAAAGCAAACCCGAAAUUACCAAAAGAAAAUUCCAAAGGUAACCUUUGAAUUAAUAGUAAACCAAUCACAUAAUUGUGUAGAAAAUGAUACUGAAAGCCAUGCUUAUCAGAAAGGGAAAACAAGAACACCUGGAUUUGCCAAGCGUUCCAUCACUUUAUGCAGAGAAUCAGAACGCAAACACAUCUGACAUCUUUGACUUCUAAGCUCAUAGGGACUAUAUGCGUCCUGGCCCAACUGCAAAGCCUGGACAAAAAACCACGCAAAAGAUAAUGUCACAAGAAGAAAAACACUAAAAUGACUUCAUAUCAAUAUAUAAAGUAUGCAACCUUAGCUUAGAAAAUGAGCAGACAGGGAUGCUAACAUUUAUAUUUUCAUUUGAAAUAAUUUUAUUUUUUUAAAAUGGAAAAAAGAAAUCUCAAUUAACAUCCAAGACAAAAUCUGACAAAUAUUGGCCCUUGUGCAGUAGUGCAACUAAGUUACAACAAUAAGCUAUAAAAUGCAACCAAUCAAAGCAACAAAAUUCCAACCGUAAUCUUAAAAAUGUGGAAAUUAAAAAUAUCUAAAUAAUAGGAAUAGCCAUCAGGAAAUUAAUACAGAUAAAUAACAGCACUACUAACAAAUAGACUGCCUUCUGUGGAAAUUAGAUCAUUUCACAAAAUAGAUCAUACAGGGAUGCUAGGAGGAGGAAUUUACUUAUUCCAAAAGUGUUGCUUGUCUAACUUAGUCCAUCAAAUUUACUAUUCAUAUAUAUUGAAUUUAUUUCAUCCAACUGCUGGAUAGAGAAUUCAUGUUAAAUAGAUAACUUCUACAAAUUUUCAUAUAAUUUAGAAGAUAUAAUUUAAAAGGUAUUGGAUACUUCAUCAAUCAACUUUAUUUUAACUUAAUAUACUUCUAAAAUAUAAGCAAGUGUUGAUUAUAAGAUUAUAUACAUACAAGAAUUUCAAUUUGUCUAUAUUCAAUGGUUGGAUUUAUGAAAUUUAUAUUAUAGAAUAAGUUAUUAAGUAAAGUAAUUUGCAAGACUUGCCCUCAGCAUAAGUGAAUUUGUUCCCGUGUAUAAUGCACAUUGACUUUUGACAUGAAAAAGUAGAAAGCCUAAACUUGGCAUCAACAUUAAUAUUUGAAAAAAAAUAUAUAUCAAAUUACACAGCUUCCUUAAUAUUACUUAAGAAUCUAUUCAGUGAUCAAUGUUUAUUGAUGUCAUCCAUUGUAUCUACUCAACAGCAAAUAGUCAAGAAAAAUAAACAUAUAAUCAAAUGUUAUUCAAGAUAUGAGGCUACAUUAUUUUAAGAAUAAAGGAAAUUGUAUAUUUCAUCAAAACCAGACACCUAUAUCAAAGCCUUCUUGACCUUGAUGUUUGAAGGAAAGAAAUAAUAAAAUUCCAUAUCAUACUAGAUAUUACUUAAGAAUCUAUUUAUUCAUCGAGUUUAUUGAGAUCCACUGGAUCUACUCAACAGCAAAUAGUCAAGAAAAAUAAACAUGCGUGUUUACUCAUGAUAUGAGGUUACAUUAGCUUAAGAAUAAAGGAAAUUAAAUAUUUCAACAAGACCAAACCUCUAACUCAAAGCCUUCUUCUUAACCUUGAGCUAUAUGAUGUCAACUAAACAGAUUUUUUUAAAGAAAAAUAAUUAGAGAAAGGGUGCUAAAUAAAUCUACAAAUUCUUAAGAUCAUCAUCAUCCACGUCCCUGGGCCAGUAGGCUAAAUACACAUCCUAACUAAAUUAAUGAGGAAAAGAUGAAAUCAGAACAUGUUAUUUUUUAAUUUCCAAAACAUACAUUGUCAGCAGUUUAUAGGUAUGCAAAUUGAAAACGAACUUGCCUGAUGAACAGUCAUUUCAUCAAGAUUAAUAUGUGUAUAUGCUCUGUUCUUCGCCAAAGCUGUUAUGUCACUGCUAAUAAAGAAGGAUGGGGUGGAAGUUAGAAUAUACAAACCACGCAAUGAUCAAAAUGCUAGGAGAAGUAAUGUUUGAACCAUAGACUUAGACAUAGUACAUCAAACAAGGCAUCAUGAAGUGUAACAAUAAUAAGGAUAUAAAACACAACAGACCUCCGACAAUAUAUAUCCAGUAAUGAGUCAUUAUCAUCAACUAUAGGUAUUGAGCUUACUUGGGCUGCAAAAGCAAAGGGCGAGAAUUAAUGUAACUAAAAUUGAGCUUUUUCUCAAAGAAUGUGUUUCUUUUACAUUUUAAUGCUUGCAUAAAAAAAAUGAUAUCACCCCAUAAAAUUUAUGUUUUCUUUUGAUGAUUAGUCAUACGUUAAAAUUUGUCUCAUAGUGGGAGACAAUGCUCUCUCUAUCAUCAGCCUAAUACCUCAAAAGCAUAAUAGGAUACCAAUAUCUUCAUUCUUUCCCUCUGUUGCUUUUCUUUUUGAUACACUAUGUUCAAGGUCAGACAAAAAGUUCACACCUUGAACUAAUAAAUUUAGGGCUGAAGCAAGAGAAGCGGUUGGUCUCAACAUUGCUAGAGGCUGCCGAUUUGAUUCCCCGAUUUUGGGUACCCACGUGCCCACAGGUAUUGCAGAGAUUGGAAAUUGAAGUACAGGCAAGGAACUAGAGCAGUGCCUAAAAUACCUACAAAGGCCUGAAAAAUCAAUUUGGUAAGGAUCAUAACUAACUACAUUAUUAAAGAAAUCAUUCAACAAAACUUACAUUUAAGUAUUCCUGAAAGUGAAGCAAGAUGUAGUAACUGCAGAAAUGAAGCCUGUUCAGAAGAAUAAUGGAUAAUAGGAACAGUUGAAACCUCCUUUUGGAGGAUUUUCACAGCAAUAUCUUUCAGAUUGUCAUAUGGACCUGACUGCACCAUAAUAGAAUAAUACAUAAGAAUGUCAAACAUAUUAAACUAAUAGAACUACAGUGGUGCAAUGCAAUAGACAAGUGCCUUAAAUUAAAGCAUACAAUGAUAAUUACUAAAACCGCUCCAUUGUUUCAUGAUUGGAAACACAUACAAGUCUAGGCCAAGAAAGGUUUAAAUUCAAAAUCCUUGUCUUAUGUUCCAUCCAUGCCUUGACUGUCAAGGACACUACCUACUCAAAAACAGACUGAAUUUAAUCUAAUGAAUCAAAACUAAAAAUGAACAAAAGAUAAAUAAGAAUAAUGAAGGAGCAACAGUAUUUAUUGUCUCUUUUUUUUAUAAGGAAAGAUCAAAUCUAAGUAGACAAGGGCCAAUUUCUUAUCAACCUGAAAUAACAGCAAAUGAAAACUAGAAGGACAGUAAAUAGUCGUAGUAAUGAUAACACUUCAAUAUUUUAGGCCCUAAUAAGUUUAUAAACAAUACAGUGAAGUUUGGACUGUAAGAAAUACUAUUAUAAAAACAGAAAAAAGGACAAAAGAAAAUAUGUUGACAAAAACUAAAAAAAGAAAAAAAGAUAUUUAACUCAGACAGGAUUUAGGGAAGUUCGGAUGACCAGGGUUUGAGUCACCGAGUCCAUAAUCAUCAGAAGGUGGUAGAAGGUAAUGAGUUGCAAUAUGCCCAGGAGAGAGCAAAGAGUGAAGAAAGAUUCUAAAAGUCCUAUUUGAAACUCUUCAAAAAAUGUUUUGUAAAAACAGUCCAUUUCUGCAAUGAUCGCUAUAUAGCACUAUGUUGCCAGUGCAAUGACAACCACAUAAAAAAAAAUAAUAGAAAGCAGCACAAAGAAGGAGGCAAAUGGUGGUGAGGUGAGCAUAAAAUGCGCCCCACUAUUCCAUUAUGGUGGUGCCAUAACCAUCAUUCAUCAACUAUGUUAUCAAUUCACUUUAAUUAAAUUAGGCUUAUUGUAAACACUAACUACAUUUAACUUCAUCAGCCUUUUACUCAGAUAGAAUUAACAACAAAAAGAAAAACACAGCAGUAAGUAACUCAAGCUGCUCAUUAUACACCAUGAUCUUUAUAUAUACCAGUGGAAACACAAACAUUAUCGCACAUGUGUGUCCACAUUUUUAAUAAAAGACAAAGAAUACAAUUAAGAAUUUUUAAUUAUUAUAAUAAUUAUCAAAAUAAAAAACAAAAUAAAAACAAUCAUUGUGGGUAGUUUCUUGCAAAUUAUAGAAACAAAAAGGUUAGUUAAUGAAGAUAAGAGUAAAAGAUGGUAAGACCAUACAAAAGAUAAAAAUGGUAAAAAAAAAUAUGUACACAAAAAAACAGUUAUAGAAAUUAAUCCUCAUUAUUAAUUGUUAUAGAUUUUACAAACAUAAUAUGCAAUAAAAGAUGAGAGUUAUGCAUACAAAAACCAUAAAAAACAUACAUGGAUAAAACGUGUGGAAAACACAGUUCCAUUUCCAUUGUUCUGCCUAUUUAGAUAAGACUUUCCUUCUUUCCAAGCUGAUAUGGAAUGUGUUUCAAGCUCUUCCUCUGUCAGAUUGGACCCACGAUUCCCCAGCUGAAAAUAGGAAAUUAAAAGUUUCAACAAGCUAUGCAAACAUGCACACACAAACAAACUUUAGGGUAUCUGUGCAAAAAUUUAAGAAUAAUAAGUGAUACACAAUAGUAGCAAAAGAACCAAAGCUAUAUAUUCCACUGGUCAUCAACAUGAAGAGUAAUAAGUUAUCAAACAAAUUUUUCUUCUUACUAAUAAUGCUGGAAAAUGAGAAUGAUUACAUUGAAUCAUUAAGAGCGUGUUUGGAAAAAAUUCAAUACCCAUGGAUCAGACCUUUUCCUUCCACGUUUAACAUAAAAAAUAUAAAUUUUUUAUCAGGUUCAUUAGACAUCUCUGACAAGAAAACGCAAAAAAAAAUAAAAAAAUGCUCUAGGUAACUCUUUCUUCCCAUGAUAAAACCAGGUCUUCAUGAUCUGAUAUAAAGAACCCAGUAGAAUAGCUCCUCCCAGGUUGGGGGAAAAUGGUCACAUGUAGCAAAAAGGAGUAAGUUGACUCUCAUGAAAAAAUUUAAAAGCACUCUCAAAUUAGGAGACUUAGGCAGCAUUGGACUUUGUUUGUCCUUUCUUCUCCAUAAAGAAGAAGCUCCUCAAAUUAGCUUCUGCAAAAGCUCUGUUUAUAGCUUUUUCUUCAAUAAAAAGAACUCCUUUUACUUAUUGGAGCUUCUCUGAAAAUGUCUUUGGCCCAGCUUCACAUUUUAUAAUUAAGAGAAGAUAAAAAUAAAAAUAAAAAGUGGUCCAUAUGAUAGCUUAAUAAGCAUCCCUGUUUCAGGUCACCACUUUUCGCAGCUACAUAAGAAAAAAAAACUCUAUACAGUAAUUCUAUCAGUGGAGUUCAGACUCUGGCUUCACAGCAUCACAAUACAUCACCACACAAAGCAUUGCAUUGCAGCAUUUAAAAACUUGACAAUACAAAAAAAUAAUGAUCCUAAACAUAUGAUACCUCUAAAUUAAUUAAAUUAAAAUAAAAUAUAAAAGAAAUACCUCUCUUAAAAUUAAAAUAAAAUCCAAAGCACUAAGAACACCAACAAAUUGCCCCUUGCACAAGUCCCAAAGAGGAGCCAUGAAAAUUCCCUGUAAGUUAUCCAGAUCAGAAAAAUGCAUAUGUAAAUCUCUACAGCAAUUCACACUAAACCUAAUAAAACUAAUGCAUAAGAAGGAAUAAGGAAAAGACUUAAAAUCAUUGUCAAAGCAAAGAUUCUAAAUAACUGGUCAAAUUCCAUAGAAUAAUUCAAAAUGCAUGAGUUCAUUCUCAGCUAUUUAUCAGUAUAAAGGUACUUAAAUGCACACUUGUUUAGCAAAAAUACUCAAUAUAGGCUAAAGGGACCCUGGAAACCUUCAAUUCAUCUGAAACGGAAAAAGAGUUACCUGCUCAUGCAGUAUAUGAAAUGCCUGCUUUACUGGUAGAUCAACAUCCAAAGCAACAACCUGUGGCCAGGAGUCACUAAAUUAGUAAUUUUAUAAUUCAAGUUUGAGGUUUGCAAUGUCGUCAAUUCAUAACAUCCAAAAUAAAGGGUCACGGUAAAAACUUCCAAACCUUGCCUGACUCGGGAAGUAAUUCAUAAGCAGUGUGGGAAGACAGAAAUGCAGAAAUACGCUGACGGGAUAUUUGUACAUCUGCAUCUGAUAUUCUUGGCAGCCCCUCACUGAAGGUACCAUCAGUCACCCGGACCUGUUUUUUAAGUGAACAACAUAAUAUACUUAAAGUCUGAACUCUGAACCAUUACAUGUCUUGUGCGAAUAAAUAAGAUACUGGUGAAAAACAGAAUAAAAAUUCUGUAUUUAUUUAUUUAUUGUAACUAUAGCAGUUCGCAUAGCCAUAGGCAUAUAAUAUUUAACUUAGAGAAAACAGAAUUUCUUCUAUUUAUGUAUAAUUAAUGUUAUGCCUAUAUUUCUUCCUCUUCCAUAGAUACAAUUUCAAACAUGAGCAGAAAUCGAAUUAUAAGAGACAACAGAACAACAUGGACAACAAGAUAUUGUAUGUUACCAGGGUUGAGUUAUAACAAAUAAGGAAUCAGGAUGAUUUUAUAUAAUUUCAUUCCAGAUAGAAGACUCGAUAGGCCUACAUAGAUCAAUAUUGCUGGAUAAAGACCUUGACUUCAAAAUGAGUUACAAAACAUUCUCUAGAAUCCAGUCAGUUCAUAGAAUUGAGUAUUGAUUGAUCUGUGUUUUGAAAUUCCAUUUCCAAGUACAACAUAGCCACAAUACAUAAAGCAGUCCAGUCAAUAAAAACAAACACAAAUGUCAGGGUAUGACUAACUCUCACCACUCGGCGAAAAGCCUCAUUAUCCACAUCCAUGCUAUUUCCAGGUGCAUCUGGAUUCAAAACAGGCAUGUAGUUGGAAUCAGUUGGCAAGAAGGCAGUGUUGACCAUCCCAUACUCUCCUGGUACGUAAGCUUGAUGUUCAUCAUGCCGCCAUUCUCCAUCAACAAAAAACUUGUACUGUAUUCAAAUAAUUUCAUAAUAAUAAGUAUCAAACCACCAUGAAUUAUGGUCAAACAUUUUCCUCAAAAUAACAUCUUUCAAAUCCACCAGUGCUUAUCAUAAUCAGCUACUUGAAAUCCCAAGUUUGAGCCUCACAUCACACCUCAAACUCGGAUAAGAAUAUUGACAACACCAGAUAGCAUUCAAAAAAAAUUAAAUAAGUAUCAUGAAACAGGAACUAGCAUUCUAAACCUUUGCAAAAAACCUCAAGCGCCAUGUCCUAUUACACUUCCAUGAAUUUUAUAAUUUGGUUACAUGGGAGUAAUGUAGAGUACAGUCAGUGAUAUACCCUCACAAGCGAAAGCAAUGCUUUGCUACCAAGACAUCUCUUUAAUUAAUUGCAAAAACAAAUUAUCAAAUCCACAAAACAUCAAACGCAACACACGCACCAUUAAGCUAGUAACACAACCAUGAACUGACCUGAUGGUAACCGGGUGGCAAAUUAUAAAUAACUUGAAACACUGUUGGACAACCUUCCACUGGCGACAUCGGUAGAAGCUCAGACCACCUUUUAGAUAAAAUUUACAACAAAAGGAGAGAUAAGCAAGACUAAACCAGAACAUUCUAAGCAAAAAAUUAAGAUGUCCAUGCAACAAUCAACAAAAUAUGCACCGUGUGAAAGAACCGCAGAGAAACACACUCCUUCCUCCAUAUGGCCACACAAAACGCAUGGGAAUUAGCACUGUCCCUGCUACAACACCCGCAUCCCUUGAAGAAUCCAUGCUCGGACUGAAUAUUCGACCUCGAACUGAAUGCUACUUUGAGAAUACCCACUUCAUCGCAGCUUCUCCAGCUCUCACGUUGCAAAUUCAAGAGAAUGCCGCGCCAAUUCAAUGUACUAGGGUGCCCAAAAUAGAAAGAAUAAAAAAAUCCACCCCAAAUCAAAAAACCAGCGGGAGAACAAAAGAAAAAGCUCAGAUUUUGAUACUUGAUACAACGGGAAAAUCAAAAGGGGAAAGUGCCCAUUUCUCUCUGCAACAGAACCAACGAAGAAACUGAAGCGGGUAUGGAAAUAAAAACACUCCCAAUUAAAUUUGCACGCAACAAACCAUUCACAAAACCCUAACCCUAAAUUGAAAAAACCUAUCAAAUUCAACCUGGGAGAGCCACGAAUUUGGAAAAAAAAAUGUGAGAAAACCAAAGCAGAGAGACUCUCAAAGGGAAAACACAGAAUAAUUCGAAACCCUAUUGAAACAUUAGAAGAAACUAGUUGAGAAAACCGAGAGAUUUAUCCCUGAAGGGGAAAACAAAAAAUAACAAAAAAAUAAAAUGGAAAUUUAAAUUAAAAAAUAUAAUUAUUAUUCUUAUGAAGGUGGGAAAAAUUAUGUGAGUGAAUUUCUGAAAUUGGAAUAAUAGAAUAAUAAAAGUGGCAGUUAAACUGUGAAACGUGUCACAUAGAAAGUGCACGUGCGGUUCUGAUAUUAGAUUUUGAUUUCAUGAAACUCUUUAUUAUUUAUUUAUUUCAUCAAACACUUGUCUUUUUAUUUCUAUACCUUUGACAAGUGUUUGAUAAAAAUAAUUUCUUAUUUUUUUACUUUUUUUAAUAUGUCAUACCCAACAAUUUUGAUAUUGUUUUCGUAAAUAAUCAUUACUUUUUAUUGUUUAAUAUUAAUAAUAACAAAAUAUUCAAUGUAUUAUGAAAAACUAUUAUUUUCUUCACCUAUUUAAACUAUAAUUGAUUAUGAUUCAUAUGAGUGGUUAUUUAAUUCAAGGAACAUGUGAAGUUUGUCGAAGAAAGGAAUAAAAAAAAUUAAAUCACUAUAUUCUAGUUUAUAGUUCAACUUUAAAGAAUUUUUAGUUAUUUAUGGUUACCUUUUAUAUAUCAUUUUUAUAGUAUUAUAAAAAACAUACAUUGAAUUGUAAAAUACUUAAUUCAAUUCUUACAAAAUUCAUCAACCUAAUCACCCAUUUUUAAUUCAAAUUUUUAAAAAUACUACUACUGCAUUAAAUAUUCAAGAAAGAAAAAUUAAUGACAAUAUUUAUAAUCCCUCUAUGCAUUAAAGGUUUCCCAUAUGGUUAAUUAUUAUUUUUAAUGAUAAAUAAUCUGUACUAAUAAUAUUAGUAUGACUACAAAAACUAUAUACUAUUAAAUAAAAUAUAUAUUGAUGGAUUCUGUUUUUAAAUUAUGAAAAGAGUUACUGAAUAAAAGUGAAAUAUGUUAAAUUUAUAUUAAUGAUGUUCGUAAAUUAAACUUGAAUUUAUAUAAAUAUAUUAAUUAAAUAAAGUUAUCUUUGAAAAAAUUACAUAAACAAAUUACUUCAAAAAUUACCUAUAAUUUAAAUUUAUUUUAUACUCAUUCUCAAAAAAAAAAAAACAAUCAAUGACGUAUUGGUAAUUUAUUAUAUAACACAUUAUUGUUAGAAAUAAUUCAAAGACAUAUUUACUACAAAUUUUCCAAUUAUUUUACCUCAAUCUAAAAAAAUCUUAUUUUCUAUUGUUUUUUUCUUUUUCACUCACACCCCAGUUCAAACAAACUAUUAGAAAAUAAAAAUAAAUAAAGUUUAAAUUAUUUUACAAAAAAAAAAUGAAAAAAUUUAUUAUUAUUUUUUUUUCUCAAAAAAGAAAAGAAAAUAUCAAAUAAAUAAGAAAUAAUAGUCAUCCAAUCAAGACAACCAACAAAUUUAUUUUCAACUCAGCAUGACCAACAACAUACUCGUUAUGGUUACAUAAUGAUGAUCAUAAAUUAACAUGGUUGUAUUGUUACUUCCAAAAAAAAAUGUAUCAUGUCUUAAAGUGAUGUCAACACAUUUGUGUCGGUCUAAUCAUGAUCAUGCUAAGAUGCAAUACACGUGUGUUAGACAUAUAAAAAUUGAGUUUUACAAACAAUGUAGCAAAACCUAAUGUGAAAGCUAAGUGUAUUUGUGCUAAGUCAAACAUAAUUGAAUUCCCCAAUGCACCCUUAUGCAAGUUUUAAGUAAAUGUGAAUAUCAAUUUAGCAUUAUCCAUAUUAAAAUGAUUAAAAUUAUCUCAAAAACUAACUAUACAUAUAACUCUUUAUGUUGUACUUUUAUGAUACAAUUUUAUCUUAGUCUAUUUUUGACAUUUUGUAUAAAACAAUAGAAAAAAUUGAGAAUUCAAAAUGAAACCCUCAUUUUAAUUAAAAAAUCACACUCAUGUGAUAUCUUGCUCAAAUAUAAAAGAUUUGUGGAUGAACCUACACAUCAUUUGUAAAUAAAACAUGUUAUGAUUUGUGAACAAGAUAUUUAGAAUCAACAUAAACACGUGGUAAAUUUGUGGUUAACAAAUAUUAAAAAAAGUAAGAAAAUACUUGUGAAAUGACUACUUUAAUAAUUUGUAUUUAUUUAUAUGUUACUGUGGUAGGAUUUAUUUAUUUUUUCUUAAUUGAUUAUGAAAAUAGUUAGCGUUAUCUUUUAUUUUGAUAUUACUGAAUUAAUCUAUUCCUUUUAUUUGAAUCUAUACCAUAAAGUCAUAAUUUGUUACUUCAAAAUCCAAAGGAAACAAAAUUUAAAAAGUGCUUUUUAUAAUUAAUUUUGAUUAAAGUCAAUUCAAUAUAUUCACUUGUUAAGAAUCAUUUUUAUUAAUUUGUUUGUAUACUAUUUAUUUAGUUUUAUAUGUUAAAUAUUGGUUUAGACAUUAUUUAUAAAAAAAAACCACCGUAUGCACCAAAUUAAUAGAUUAUAAAUGUACAAUUAAUGGAAAUUAAUUAGUGAUCUCAUAUGGAGAUGAUAACUCUUCUCGAAAAAUAUAACAACAUAACAUUGAUACAUUGGUGAUUUAGAAGACUAUUUUUUGCAAACUUUCAUUAAUUUAUUUGGUGACAUUGGGAAAUUACGAUCCUAUUUUUUACUAAUUUAUUCGCAACUAAAUUAUAUAACUAAUAAAUAUUUAAAUAUUAAUAGUAUCGUAAUUUUUUAUUGUUUAUUAUGAAUUUUUUCUAAUGUUGAACUAAUAUUUUAUUAAUUAUGUAAUAAUGUAAUGUCUUAAAAACUAAAUAUGAGGAUGAAUGAAUUUUGAAUGCAUAAUUUUAGGUUUAACAUUUUAAAUAUUAGAUUUCGUCACUCAUUGCACUUUUGGAAAUGUUUAAUGAAAAAUUGUUUGUAUAUAAAUACUGUAGUUCGAUAAUAUUAUAUUUAGAUAAACAUUAAGUUAUACACCAUUUAUAAUUAUAGUAAAUCUAUCUGCACAAUAUUUGUCUUACUUUUAUUAGGCGUUGUUGUUAUGCAUUUCAAUAAAUGUUAAUAAAUAGUAUUUUAUUAUGAGAUAGAAUUGUUUGAUCUGAUAACCUCAAACACAAUAAAUAUAAAUAUAUAUAUAUAUAUAUAAAUUAACAACAAUAAAACAAUAAUAAUAUAAAGUACUUGGUGAAUUCUACUAUAAAAAUAUUAUGAAUAAGGAAAAUAAUAUUAGAAUUCAUCAUGGGAAGAAUCCAAAUUUGGAUAAAGAAUUGUUUGACGAUAAUACAAACAUUAGAACCAAUAACAUCCCGAUAAAUAUGAUAACACCUAUCAAAACUGUCAGGCUCAUGAGUAUUAUUAUCGUUGGGGAUAAAAAAUAUAUUUUUUAACCUCCUCACUAAAAGAACAAUAUACGAGAAUUAUCAUUAUUAGAAAACUAAAGUAUGAAUAGAAUAUGUGUCAAUUAUCUUGUAACAUUUGCAAAAUAAUAAUUAUGUUUAAAAAAUGGAAUCUUCAAUCCACUUGGGAUCUUCCAAAACAUAAUCUCCUUCAAUUGGCCUUUGUACUAAAUUAACAUUGUUACAUUUCUUAACAAUAACAUGAAAGAAUAUAGUAUUUCUAUCACCAUCUACAAUGUAGUUCAUUCUAACUUUCUCCUUCCAAAACAAAGCUUGAGUGUUUAAGCAGUAUUAAGAUUCUUAAUAGAUUAUUUUCCCUCACUCGAAAGCAAAUUUUGUUGUUCUAUGUUUGUUGCAACAAUUUGGACUUGUAUUCCAUCUAAAACCUUUUAUUUCACAACCACAAUAGUGUGAACAUUACCAAUACACUCGUAUUUUGAUUUUCAAGAGUUGAUUUCAAUCUUUGCAACUUUUUUUUUUUAUAAAACUAACAAAGCACAACCAAUCACAACAAUUGUCCAAUACUUUUGAAUCACAAAUUUACACUUAGGAUUCUCCAACCAUAUCUUAAAAGAACUUGAAGGAGGGAUGCCUAUUGGUAAUAAAAAGAAACUAAUAAAUAUAUGGUGAUUAGAGUAAUUUUUGGGAAGAACUUGAAAUUUGAAGUUGGUCUAAUGAUCAACCGUGAAAGUUACACAAAACUUUUUCAAGCUUCCUCUAACUUGUUGGUUGUCAAGUCUAUCAUGCCUGAAAAUAAAAGACUUAUUAGAGGUCCAAAUAUAAAUAAAUUCAUUAGAGUUUACUCAAUCAUGGAAAUCAAAUCAUUACAAUCUAUUAAGAGAAACCCCUAUUUUAAUCUCACUUGAGCAAAAUACAACACCAAAAUCACCAAAAAAACACCAAGGAUUAUACUACAUAGUGGACAUGUCCGAUCAAAGAGUUUAACGAGUGAUGUAGGAUGUUGGACCCUAAAUACGAACAAUAUUCAUAUUAUCCCAUACAAAGAAACAAUUACAUUAAUAUACCACAAAGAGAGUUGUGACUAAUGUUGAUAUGCAAGUCAUAUCUAUUUGUAGAUUUUUUACAAGGUCGACGAAGUUUCAUGCUCGAUUGGACCAUUUGUAUAAUAAUAACUUUAUCCUGAAUUUCCUUUCUACUAAAAGACUCUACCACCUUCUCCUGUACCAAUUAUUCUUAGAAUUUGGAAAUUGAAUUAGUCUCCGCAAAAUUUAGAAACAUCUCAUUAAAAAACAAAGUAAAUAACAAUCUUAUUAGAUUAAACAACUUUUAAAAAAAAAUUUAAAAAAUUUAAGUUUUCCUAUAUAAAACAUGCAUUCCAACUUGUACACAUUAUGAUUUAUUUUUUUAUUCAUAACAAAUAGUAAUAUACUUUAUCUUGUACGAAAUGUGAGCACACUUUUUUUUUUUUCCGAAAAAUGUUUGUGUAGUUUUAUUUUUGGCUGUAACUUAUACAUUGAUGAUCCAACUUAAAAAAACUUCUAGAACAUCCAAAAUUAUCUAUUUCUUUAGAAUGAGAUGAUUUUCUUUAGAAGUUAUAAUUAAUUGUUAUGUUUUUUCUUAACAAAUUUUAAGUAUCACAAACUAAUGUUUCUUAUUUUUUUUCUCAAAGUUAUUAAAUCUACUUAUAACCGACAACUCUUUACGUUAUAUUUCUACUAAUACACUAAUUAUCAUUAUAAUUGGAAUAGAGCAUUAAUGUAUACUAUAGUACAUAUAACAAAAUUAAUUUCAUAUUCUUCAAAUUUUAGUUAACUUUUAACAUUCUUUUAAAACAUCAAAAUAUUUUAAAAUAAUUAAGAAUAAAAAAAACACUUAAUAUAUAAUUGAUUUAAUACUAAAAGGCCAACUAAAAAAUAUAAUAUAAUUUUAAAAACUUUAGAAGUACUAUUUAAUACAAAAACAUUAACUAAGUGGUGAAUAUAUUUUUUGCACACGUAUAUUAAAACUAGUACUAGUAAAUAUUAUACCACCUAAGUUUUUUUAGUAUUUUGGCUAAAAUUAAAUGCUUUUUCUAGUUGAAGUAUUUUGGAUAACUCAAUAAUUUUUGGUAGUAUUUUCCUUUCUAUGAUUUUUCUAUGCUGGAAUUAAAAAUAUAUUUAGUUAAACACAUUUGUAAAUUAAAAUGGCGUUAAAAAUAUAUAAUUAAGAAAGUUUUACUCUCUCAAAUUAUGAAAUAGAAAAUAAUUAAGAAAGAAAGUUAUCAUAAUUAUUAAUCUUGAUAUUUUACUAUAUUCCUUAUUUAUUACUAUUAUUAUAUUAUUAUAUAAUAUUUAACGGUUAAUUACCUUCACAAGUAUUGAGAAAAUCCUAAAUCAUUAAUUAAUAUAUAUUUUUAAAAAAAAUAUGUGAUGAAAUUAGAUUGAGGCAAAUAAUUAAAAUUCAUUGAGAUACCAAAGCCCAACCUUUUUUGUUCCUCUCUAUUGUGUGCACACAUCAAAUUAUUGGGAGAGCGAAGUGAAAGAUUUGGAAUCCGUUUUGAACUCGCCGUCAAAACUUCAUUCCACUAGCCACUGAUCGGUUUCGUUGAUCUCCACCGUCUCUGCUUUUUGAUCAGAUUGUGGGUGGAAGCCAAAAAUUCAAUUUUUUUGAUGCAAGUAAUGGUUUUUAUUCUGGUUUAUAUGCAUCUUCAUCAAUGAAGGGUUGUCACAUGGCAUGAUCACUGUGCAAAUAAUCGCUUUUCCCUUAUGGGUUUUUGAGGGCUUCGCGUUUGCUCUGUGGGGUCGGUUUUUAAUUUUAAUUUUUUUUAACAUUUGGGUUUUUUGUUUUUCUUGCCACUCUUGUUUUGGGGUUUGAUUGAAGUGAUGCUGGACUUCAGGGAAGGUUCCAAUGUGAAAAGAUUGUCUUUUGGGUUAUGGGGUUAGGCCUAGGGCUAGAAAGUUGUGGUGGGUGGUUGAGAUGAAGGAGGAUACUGAGCUUGAGGAAGGAGAGGCUUUCUAUUACAAGGAUGAUGAUGAUGAAGACAACAUUGACCCUGAUUCUUUCUCAUACAUUGUAAGGAAUUAUUCAAUAUUUUUUUUUUGAAAUUUCCAUUUUAAUUUGCUUGGGUUUAUGGAUGGUUUGGAUGAUCACCAAAACUUGAAAUUAUAUUUGCAAAUGUAUUAAUGUAUUUGGUUGCUCGGGGGAAAUAGGAAAUGAAAGAGUCAUAACAUUUCUAAUUAAACCCGCUGUCUGAAGGUACAAAAUCAGUAUGAUAAAAGCUGAACACAACUGUUGGCUGUGGGGCUCCAUAGUUAUACCUACAUUGUUUGUUAAUGGGGAAGAAAUUUAGCAUUAAUGAAGUGAUUUAGAAACAUUAUAGACCGCCUUGAGUUUUUUUAUGUGCUGAUAAGCAUAGUGAAACUCUAUCCUUGAUAAAUGCCAAUAAGAGUAUAUCUUAUUGAUUUUGUUUUGCUAAUGUAGAUGAAAAUUCCGCCAAAUUGUGCGUGAAAAACUUAGUUUACUAUUUUAGCAAGUAACACCACACCCAUCAUCAAGUACUAGGAAAUGGAUUGGUUUGCUAUGCCAUUAUUCUUUCUUGUGGAAAGUGGUAUUGAUGCUAUGUUAAUGUGCAUUAUAUUUUGUCCUCAUACAAUGUUAGUGUUGCCUACAAUUAAGAAAAAAUCAUUCCUAAUUGUUUGUUGAUCGUUGUGGUGCCUUCUAUUUUUCGCUUCAUCUUCCUGGUGAUUAUUGUUGAUUAAUGACAUUUGCUCUUAAAUUCCUCUAGUAAAUUUAUCUAAAAAAUAUUAGGACUGAUAAGUUGUUUCCUGAAGGAUGAGAAGAUUCAGCAUGUUCUUGGCCAUCUUCAAAAGGAAUUUGAAGGUGGUGUAUCUGCUGAGAAUUUGGGUAAGUGGAAAUUGUGGAAUAAUAAAGGUCGAAGCAUGUAUUGAGAAAUGAAAGAGCUAUCUUUGCAUGGAUGAAGUGAUGUUUUCUGAUGUGAAUAAUAUUUUUCAGGUGCAAAAUUUGGUGGCUAUGGUUCCUUUUUACCCACCCAAGAGCGCUCUCCUUGUCUAUGGUCUCAUCCAAGAACUCCACAAAGAAACCAUCGCUCACCAAAGCUUAAUAACAAUCCUCACAUGGAGGUAUAGGGAUAUAUCAAUGUUUUUAUUUGUUUAUUUUACUAUUUAAUAGGAAGGCAAUAUAUGCUACCAACUUAUCCCAACAUAGAAAUAAUGCAGAUUGAUUGAGUGCAGUCCGUUAUGUUUUUAUACAGGCUGUGUUUCAUAACCAAAAAGCACCUACAAAUGUGCCUCAUCCUUCAAGGCCUGAAAAUGCUUCUCAUAGUUCACAUCCAUUUCGUGAUUUAAGAGAAGCUUUAGUAAAUGAUUCAGUGAAGAAAGAACAUGGAAAUUCUUCCAGUGAUAUACCUGAGAGGUGCACUUUGAAAGAUGAUACUACAAAAAAUACAGCGAAUUCAACUGAUCAAAGGACACUGAAGUUUCGAAUCAAAAUGAAAUCUAAUAUCUUGUCACAAAAGAAUGCAGAAAUCUAUAGUGGCCUUGGACUUGAUGACUCUCCCUCAUCCUCAAUGGAUAACAGCCCUGCGGAAAGUGAAGGCACGCAACCUGUAUCUCAAGAGAGUGCGGAAAAUUCUCCAACUGGCAUUAUUCAGGUAGAGGACCUUUUCUAUUCCUAUACUGUUUAAUAUCAUUAGAAAUAUUGAAGUAUUAACUUCUUAUUUAAUGACAUAGGUUAUGAGUUAUUUUCCUAUCCCUGGGGGUGUUCUGAUAUCUCCUCUACACAAAAGUGUGCUCAACCUGAUUAAAAAUGAUAAUAAAGCUAUUGGAGACACCAAGGUUUCGUCCUCUCUUAAUGGUCAUCAAGAUCCUUGUUCUAUGUCCACUGACGAAUCAGAUUCUUUUGUGGGGACUGGACAUUUGAAGAAGAACACUGUGAGAAUAGUGAAACAAAGUGAAAAACAGUUGGAAUUGAAGCAUCCAAAUGGUACCUUUUCUGAGAAGGAUAUUACAUUGCAUAAAAAGAAAAAAUUAGGAAAUAGAACACCUGAUUGUAAAGAUUUCCUGCCUAAUGAAUUGAAAUGGACACCUCCGUCGAGCUCAAUUUGUGAUGCUGGUGAAACUGCUGAAGUCACUGCUAAAGCUUCUGAAGCCUCCAAGGAGGUUAAUGGGAAUGGGGUGCUAGGCAGAAUGGUUUCUGAAGAAGCAUUGAAGGAAGAGUCAUUAGAAUCAAUAUCUGGUCAAGAUUUUGGGAAGACUGCAAUGCAAAAUGUAGGAAAUGGUUUUCUGAAAAAUGCUCUAGAACAUAAACUGGAAAGUUCCCGCAAGGAUAAUUCUACAGAUCCUAUGAAUAAUAACACGAGUAAUACUUUCAUUAGGUUCAAUAAGGUUGAACGUGAGGCAUUGAAAUGUAAGGCAGAUCAUAAGUCUGAGACUCAUCAGAAAAUAAAGGCUGUGUCUGAGCGGAAGAAGAAGUCAAAAGGUGACCAGAGUCCUGAAAAAGCAGGGGCAGUUGCAAGAAAAAAAAGCUUUGGUGGUACUGAUAAUGCAAUGGCAAUUGAGAAAGGGAGUGCUGGCUAUGACAAUACUUGUAGUAGUAAAAUAAAGUCAAGCUCACUGGACAAAAAGUUCAGUGGUAACAGGGAUUCAAUGAAAGAAAAAAGAUCAGAACGGAAAGUUGACAGUCUUGCUGGUAAUGGUAGAAUGAAAAAUGCAAAAAUUAGUAACGGAAAACAGAGUGCAUUUGGGAUUAAAGUAAAUGAGAGAAUGAGUGGUCAUAAAGUGAUAAACCAGGUGCUAGCUGGACCAUGCAUUAAUGAUACUUCGGCUUCUAUUCCUAUAGCUGGAAACAACCUUGCACCUGAGAUGAUUUCAUCUGCAGUAGCUGCACCUCAACUUAUUGCAGAAGAUUGGGUAUGUUGUGACAGUUGCCAGACAUGGAGGCUUCUACCUACUGGUACGAAGCCUGACCACCUUCCAGAGAAAUGGCUGUGUAGCAUGCUAGAUUGGCUGUAAGUUGAUUGCUCAUUUCGGUUAUGUAUAACCAUACUACGCUGAAUAUACGCUUAGUAUGGGUAUUUAUAUAUGGACUAUUUUUUUUUUCUUAAUUUCUCUGUGUGCAUCUUGUUGUGUGCUCUGUGUUAUUUGCCUUAUCAUUAUUCUCUAAAUUUGUUGUUAGGCCUGGGAUGAAUUCUUGUAAGUUCAGUGAGGAUGAGACAACAAAAGCACUUUAUGCCUUAUAUCAAAUGCCAAUUUCCCAGGUUCAAAAUAACAUGCAAAGCCAUGGCAGUAAAACUGCAAUUGGAGUUAGGUCUCCAAAUUCUUUACAAUAUGGCCUAAAUCAAAAUAUGUCUAGUUCUGAUAUGUCUGACCGAGGAAGGAAGAAACUUGUUAUUAAGGAGAAGACAAUGCCAGGAAUUAAUAAUGACAUGCAUCGGUUCUCAAAUUCAGUGAAGGCCAAUGUUCAAGUAUCUGGAAAAAAUAGAAGCUUGAACGGCUUGAAUCAGCGUCCUGCUGAUUUAAACCCAGUGAAGAAGAUGAUGAGCUCUUCUAAACAUCUUACCAGGCCUGACAACAUGAUAGCAGAGAAACAUGUGCCUAAAGAGACUGAAAAGCAAGAAAAUGGAGGUACCUCAUUCAUUUCAGAGUUGAUAUGUUGUUAUUUAUUUUUGUUAAUAAGAAAUUACAGGUAUUCUUAAUUAAUAAUUUCAAUGUUAUUUUCACACUUGAGCAGGUGAUAGAAAGCAUGAUAAGUUGAAACGUAAGGUGAAUGCUGACCAAUAUAAAUUGGGAACUCCCAAGAAAUCAAAAACUGAAAAUGUUUUCUCUGCUAAUAUGCAAUCAAAUCAUGACAUGGACCUUGAGAAGGCGUCUCUAUAUUCAAGAAAUGGCUUGUCAACAAAAGCUGGUGGGAAGGAUAUGAGGAAGUAUGAUGAAUAUUGUUUAUCUGAGGAUGUAUCUGAUAGAUUACCAGUCACUGUUAAGAAAGAGGGAGUUCAGGUGGUCUCAUCGGGUUUAAUGAAGAAAAGGAAAUUGAAGGAUCGGCUUGAUGAUGAAAAGCAGUAUGGUGAAGAGGGUAAUGCAAUAGAAUUUAGCAAGGAAAAGAAAUACAGAAUUUUGAUGUCCGUAACUGAAGGUGACAAUAAAUUAAGCAAGGGUGGGAUAAGGCAAGUCUGUGUGGCAGGCAAUGGGGCCCAUAUGGCUGUUGGCACAGAAGUCAGUCUUGGUGAUAAAGGCAACCAACUAAGGAAGCAUAGGAAAAAUGUUGCAUCUCUUCAUGCUUCAGAUGGUAUUGAUCAAUUGCGCAAGGAUUUGGACUCUAGACCACAUUCAUUGGCAGCAACUUCAAGCUCUUCUAAAGUCUCAGGUUCUCAUAAAGCUAAAACCAAGCUUGAAGAUGGAAGAAGUUCACCUGUUGAAUCUGUUACAUCGUCACCUUUGAGGGCCUUAAACUUGGAUAAGAAUAAUUUUGCAGCAGGAGACGCUUCAGUGAAAGACAAUGUUACAAAAGGUGGCCACUCUACGGUAGGUUCCAAGAGAAAUGGGGAUAGCAGGGAGAGAAAGCUGUCAGUAAAAUUGAAGGAGGGUAGAAUUCUGCAUGAUUUACAUCCUACAUCCCACAAAUUAUCUUCUGUAGAGUACCAGGUUGAGGAUGCUAAAGACACAUCCAGGCUCCAAGCUAAAAAACCUUCUGAACUAAAGAAUAAUCAUUUGCUUGAAGGUGGUAUUCAUGUUGAACAACCUGGCUAUUGUGCUAAUGGUGUACAUAACGAGGAGAAAGUAAAGAAGGAAAACCAGGAAAGUGAACUUUCUUGGCAGAAAUCUGGUAAGAUUACAUCAUUGAACAGCAAGGAGAAAGGCAGAAAUUUUGGUUCUCAUGUUUGUACUGAUAACAUGAAGAUGUCAGUUUCAGAGGCUGUUGGUUAUUCAAAAAAAGGAGGGAGGUAUGAUUCAGCAGUUGAUCCCAGUAACCAUGCAUCUGAUGCUGAGACAAAAAAUGUUGUUAAAUAUACUUUACCCAAGCCUAAAAGAGAAAUUGACAGUAGUAGUCAGAAAAGUGCUUUAAGACAUGGCCCAAAAGAAACUGGAAAGCAAACUGAGAUAAAACCAAGAGACUUUGAGAAAUCAGUUCCAAAGAUGGAUGUUCAAUGUAGCAAUGAGAGAAAGACUAUCUCCCACCAAAACUCGACUAAUGAUUUUGAGCAAGAAAACAAAGCUAAUCAUGUAAUCACAGAAUCAAGAGUUGGGAAAUCGAAAGUUCUCUCAUCUGCAACUGGUGAAGUAAAAAGGGAAGCAUUGAGUAUGGGUUCUAGAACUGUACCUCAGUAUCAAAAGGGAGGCAUGGCUAAUGAGCAUCCUGUCAAUGUUUCUGACAAUGGUGAUUUGGUCAAGUCAAUGAGAAGUUUUGCUGAUAUUAGUAAUAAUGCUGGAGUUAAUUGUGGUUCUGGAAAUUCCGUGCCUGAUCAGCAACCCACUGUGUCAAGUCCUAUGAGAGAAAAUUUUAACCAAACUACUGUUGACACCCUGGAAGAAGCCACAAAACUAAAAGAUAGAGCAGAUAAUUAUAAGGUUAGUUGAUUAUUUCAAGAUUUUACUUAAAUGUAUUUGGUUUGAUCUAGCAUCUCUCCUUUUCUAACUGAUUGUAUAAAUACUGUUAUUCUAUAGAACUCUGGGUUUGACUUUGAAAGCAAUGAGACAUACUUUCAAGCUGGGUUGAAGUUUCUGCAUGGAGCAUCCAUUUUAGAAAAUUGUCACAAUGAGAGUAGCAAACUUGGGGAAAUUAGUCAAAUGCAAAUUUUUGCUACUGCUGCCAAACUUUUCAAGUAAGUGAAAAUUCUGAAGCUCUAAGGAAAGUUGUUAUUGUUUUAUGAGAUCUUAGGUUUUGGUCUUAAUUCAGUUAUUGAUCGGAAGUACUUUUUGAGGGAAAGUGAUUUGAUAACAUGCAACUUGGUUGGCUAUAAAUAAGGCUGAAGUGAGUGUCAGCCCGUGGGGCUCCUGACUUCCUUGGUUCAUUAACAGCUUAAUGAGCUGAAAAUUUUGGCUGGUUCAUAAAUAAGCCUAGCUUUGGCUUUCAGAUAACUCAUUAGCGGGCCUGACAUAUAAUACAGACCUUUUUUUAAUAAUUGAAGUUGCUUGUAACAACAUUUUAAUUGUAAUUUGUAAUGCUUUUAUAGAAGUUAAUCAAUGUCAUUAUAAUAAAAAGUUAAGAUCCAUUAUAUAACAUUUAGAAGUUUGUUUCACUAGUGUCUUUCUCUUAUGCUAUGCAAUUGACCUUUAAUCAUACAAUGCCUUAAAUGUUUUCAGAUGCUGUGCCCAUGAAUAUGAAGCUCGCCAAGAAAUGGCUGCUGCUGCUUUGGCAUAUAAAUGCAUGGAGGUGGCAUACAUGAGAGUGGUCUACUGUAAGAAUUCCAGUACUAACAGAGAUCGACAAGAGUUACAAUCAACUCUUCACAUGGCUUCUCAAGGUAUUGGAACAUAGUUUUCAUACAACUGUUUAAGUCUUCAGGCUUGUCAGGUAUUGUUGUAAGUUGAUUUCGCAAUAUUAUACUUGCAUACUUCUUCCACCGGAAAAUAAACAAAAUUAGAGAAUGAUACAUCUACACAUGAUGAAAAGCUGAAAGCUAACUAGGGAUGUAGUAGUUGUUUUAUAUUCUUAAAGACAAACAAAUUUUAUCCAGAACUAAAAAGUCAAAAUCUGGUGUUAUUUUUCUCUAUGAUGAAAUGUGUUACACAUAAAAACCAUUCAUGGACCCAGUCCAGAUAGCCUGACAGCCUUGUUUGAUGAAUGCAUGAAUGUAUUAAGGGAUCCCAGUCAAUGAUGUAGCACUGCUUUUUUACUCUAUUGUUUAGGUGAAUCUCCUUCAUCUUCUGCAUCCGAUGUUGAUAACCUUAACAAUCAGGCAGCAGCAGAUAGGGCUACUUUGCCUAGGGGUACCAAUAGUCAUAUUGCUAUCAACCAAGUCAUAUCUGCUCGAACUCGUCCAAAUUUAAUCAGGCUUCUUGAUUUUGUAAGUUUUAAUUGUUGACAAACCUUAUAUUCUACUUGGAAAUUUAUCUCGGUAUGUUAAUGAUGAAUUACCAAGGAUUGUUGUUGGGGGAUCUAACAGUUUGUUGGUAAGAAAUAGUAGUUGGAAAUGUGGUUCUGUUUGACAGAAAAUCAGGAUGGAUGUCUGCUGUUUUUGCCAUGCUAGAGUAGCUCAGAUUUCAAUCCAUAGACACUUUUCCAUUGCAUAAUUGGAGUCGUUCUGUUAUGUAAUAAGUAUGUUGUGUUGUCAUACGGGCAACUGUUACUUUACUAUUGGAAACUUAUAAUGCAAUGCCUGUUUUAGAUUUUGGUGGACAGGUGGUGGCAAAAUUUCAACAAUCUAAGCAGUUAGCUUGUGUAAUUAUUAAAAAUACUAAAAACUAAAGAACUCGGGUGCCAGAAGGUUCCUCUCUAUGCAAAGAUAUGGGGAAGGGUUAUUGUACACAUUGUUUCUGGGUUCACAGCCAUGACCAAUAAGCCACCAAGGCGUGAUGUUAACUGCUCCGCCAGGGCUCUUCCUCUUGCUUGAGUAGUUAUUGAGUACAUUUUUUUUAUGGAAAAUUAUGUCUUAAGUUUUGGUGAUUUUUGCAGACUAAGGACAUACAUUUUGCAAUGGAGGCUUCUAGCAAAUGUCAGAGCACUUUUGCGGCUGCUAAUGCCAUCAUGGAAGAAGCAAGGAAUAAGGAGUGUAUAGCUUCUAUUCGGAGUGUUGUUGAUUUCAGCUUCCAGGAUGUGGAUGAGCUUGUACGUCUUGUUUGGACAGCAACAAAAGCCAUAAGUCGCUCUGGUCUUGGUGGUGCUAGAGAUUAACUUGAUCCUGUAAAUAAUUAAUUUUUUCUUUUUGGUUUUACUUCUCUACUGAGAUGGCAUUGUGAAGGAAGAGGCUAAAAGAUACCUACCAAGACUAGCACUUAGAAACCUGCCAAGGCAGCAGGUUGAAGGCGAUCUGUUACCCUUGUGUACAUUUGUACAAAAUGUGAUUGAUUGGAAAAUUUUGUAACAGAAUUUUCAUUUGAGGUUUUUCUUAAUGUGGAUAGGGUAUAACACACACCCUUAAAUUUUAUGGGUUAGAAAGAGGGAAGGGAUUCCUGGCUGUCAAGAGAUGCCAGAUGAAUAUCAUAUUAUGUUAGUUCAGUGCUACAUUCUUUGCUCCACAACAUAACUGGAGCCCCAGGAACAAGAAUAUAGAGUCUGCUAUGUUAGGCAACCAUUUUUGAUGGCUUUGAAUACUUAUAUAGUUAUAUAGGUCCAUUCUUAAUGACAAUCUCUCCUUUUAUGUUUCAUAUCAAAUUUUUGAAUGAAUACAAAUCCAUGCAGAAACUUUCCUUGUGUUAACAAGCAAUGCUUUAACUUCUAUUUCCAAUGCUUUGCUUUAUGCUCCAUUUCUGUUAGUAUUUGUGAUCUGGUUAACUGUUUAUAUAUAUAGCAUUGGUUAGUUGUAGCAAUUUGUGAUGUCAUUUGAAUCUGUGCAUGCCAUCAUCUUGUGAGAAAUAUUAGCCGGUAGUAGUGACAUUGUCAAGUUACAUCAGAAAGAUUUUCCUACUUUGACUACUGUGAGAAUUUAUUUCAUGUAGUUUUGUUUCAUGUUAGUGGAGAAGUACCCUACACAGUAUCACUGGAGAUACUGAAAUUUUUCAUUUUAACAACUACUUGAGAAGUCAAAUCUCUUCUGUCAAAAUGACAACUCAUGAUGGUUUAAUCUGAAAUUCAUUUGUUGACAGUGUCAACAGUGAAAAUAUAUUUUUCACAUUUCAAUAAAUUAAUAUUUUAUUUAUUUUUAUUUGAUUUUUUAAUUCAAAAUAUUAUUAUAUUAAUAUAAGUUUUUGUCAAAUAUAUGUUUUGCAUUGUUAAUGGUGUUAAAAAAACUUUUUCCUAUUCUAUUACAUGUUGAAAAUUCCUCUCUAUUCAAGCUUUUGUGAUCUAUCUUGCAUCAUGACAUUCAAUGGUCUUUUUUCAUAUAUUAACUCUUCUCUGGCAUACCAAGGCUAAUGAAUGAUAGUGGUUAACUACUAUUGUGUAUUGUGUGUUUUAUUCAGUGUAGUUUUUGUUGUUGUAAUGUUUGUAAAGUUAUGAUAAUUCUUUAUAAGUAUUUUAUAAAUAAAAAUAAUGAGUUUUUCUAUAAAUUAAAAUUAGUUAAUAAAUUUAUUUAUAGAAAUAUUUUACUUCUAGGUUUUUAAAUUUUUUAUUAUUAAUUUGUGCAUAGAUAGAUUUUUUUUUUAAUUUUUCUCUUUUGUAUGUGUUCACAGAUAAAUUUGUUCAAAGAGACCCUUAAUAGGUGUAGCAUGUAACUUUGUUUUUGAAUAUUGGUUUAGUAAAUAAGAUAAUUUGAGAUUGAAAAUAAGUUCCAUUAGGCAAAAACUUUUUGUACGUCUUGUAAUAAGUGUGUUUGGUUCCAUGUUUCUACAUCCAUUUUUCACUUUCAAGAAACUAAAUGUGAGAAUAUUUGUUGGAUUUAUGUCUAACUUUGUGAAUGAUUUUAUAAACAUAUCUCAAGUAAUCAUAAGCAUCUUAGAUAAUUUUGUCCUAUAAGUAAUUUUAAGAGAAGAAAAUAAUAAAAUAAACCUUGUUUAUGCAUAAAUAAAAAUUUGAUUAGAAGAAGCUAUUAUUAGAAAGCUUUUAAAAAUGUACAAACUAAUUUUGAAUUUACAAAGAGAUUUAUUUUUAUUUUUUUUGAGAUUUCACAUAGAAUAUAAAUAAGGACAUUUCACAGUAUAUAAGUGGUCGUAAAUCUUAUCUUAUAAAUCAGUUUUAUAAGGUUGAAUUAGGUUUAAAAUCUACUUCUUAAUAUGACAUCAGAACUACUUAAAACCUAUUAUAGAGAGAGUUUGUUGACUUAUCAAGUCAUUUAUCGGACUGCUAUCAGACCAUCCAUAAGUAUAUAGUUACAUGCAUGAGUUGGAGGAUGUCAACGUGAUAAAUGUAUGUUGAAGAUCCCACAUAAACUAAAGAUAAGAACAUUUCAUACCAGUAAUGUUGUCUAUUCUUUUGUUAAUUGGUUAGCUCAUGUGUAAUAGAAGAAAGAAAAUUUUAUGGCUUUGAUCUAAGUUUUCCUCAAUAUUCCUUUCUGCUUUGUUGUAGAAGAAAGUAACAUAUCAAUAUUCCUCAAUACUAUGAUUUUUUCUACAUAGUUGUUUAUCUUUAAGAGUGUUAAUGUUGUGCUUUCAUAGAUAAUUAAUAUCCUAAUGCAUGUUUUUGGUUGUUUCAUACUCUUGCUGUUGUUCUUUCAGAUUAUCAUAAUUAAUAUUAUUAACUUGCUCUUGAUUAAUAAUCAAGUAUUUAUCUAUUUGAUCUCAAAUGCAUAAUUCUCAAUAUAAUUUAAAGUCUUCAUGUAGAGAAAAUUUUCACAACCUUAAUCUAAAUAUAUCUUCACUUCAAUCUUAAUAGAAUUAGAUUUUGUUAAGAUAUUUUUUAUUAGACUUGACUAAAAAGAUCUUUAGAUUAAUCAUCUGGAUAUUUUUUACCAUUUAUACUAUCAUCUUUAACUUAAUUUUAAACAAAGUAUUAUCAAUUUUUUAGAUGAAUAAGUUCAUCCAUAGAAUUUUUUAAUUCAUAAAUAAGAAGAAUUUUAAUAUCUAGAGAAAGGUGGAUAACUUUUUUUCAAUUUUUUUAGGAAAUAAAUAAAGAUUUUUUUAUUCAACAUGAUGUGAAUUAAGACUAAAAAAUAUAUUAAAUAAAAACAAAGUUUGGAUAAAAAAUAAUUUAUAAGUUGAUAUAUAAUUAGUUACCAAGAUUUUACCAACUGACUUUAAAAUCUAAAUAAUUGAUAGCUAAAACUCUUUGAAUUAUUCAAAUAUUAAUUUAGAAAUUAUUGUUACAAAGUGGACUUUAAGUCUAACUCAACCCCAUAAAACCGGCUCAUGAGAUUGAGGUUUGCACUCACUUAUAUACAAUAGAUUGUCCUCAUCUCUAAUCGAUGUGGGAUCUCCAAAAACUAUUUAUCAGUAAUAAAAACUAAUUUAGGUACCAAUAAAUUUUAUAGUUUAUAAAAUAAUAUAUAAUUUAGUUAAUAUAAAAUUAAUUAUUUUUUGUAUUUAAAAUUAAUUUUUAUUCAAUGAUUUUUUAAGUAAUGGAAAGUUGAUUUUAUUGAUUAUUUUACCAUCUUAAUUGUAAAUGGAGAAACAUUAACUUGAGAAUAUCAUAUAAACUUGUGGAAUUUGGUGUAAACAAGACAUUUCCUUUAGUGUGUGUUUGUUUCCAUGGCGGAGGAGGGAGGAGAUGUUUUUUUGUGUUUGUUUCAAGGGUUUCGAGGGUGGGGGAGUGGAUGGGGGAGAGGGUGACUGAUUUUUUCCAUUCUUCACAAAAUGAAGAGAUUUGUGAGGAUUUAUGUAGAUGGUUGUAUUUUACUAAAAUACCCUUAUACAUGCAUUUUAUUGCAAUAUCAAAAUUAAAUAUUACAUAAAUUUAUUUAUAAUUUCAAAAAUAUUUAAUUAGACUAUUAAUAACAACAUACAAUUAUAAAUAAUGAAAAUAAAAAA